AGCUGGGGAAGUUAAUUGCUUCCUAUACACACCCCUCCAUGCAGAGCAUAAAAGGGGUGUGCUGGGAGGGUUAUGGUUUGGCAGGAGGAAUGAGAUAGGAAGGAAGCUGUGUCCAGUAGUAGAGAUGAAGUCUGAACAUUCUACUUGCUGGUGCUUGCCCAAUAUUUCUUCAUAUUGACUGGAUUGUGUCUCGCAAAUGCUGCUAAUCCAAUGAACACUGCUUCCUCUUUAAUGUGAGAUUCAGCCACCUCAUUACAAAAACUAAAAAUCUGACUGUCUGCUAAGGUAAUAAUUUUUAACUGUUUUUGUGUAAGUGAUGCUAAAUACGAAAAAAAAUAAAAUAGCUAUGACCAGGAAGUUGACAUGCUCUUAUUUUGGAUUCUCCAGUACCAGGUUGGAGUUCAUUGUUUCCUGUCCAGUACAUGUUUACGUGGCUGUUGUAGUUUCUUCUGGAACAGCUUUUGUGGGUUUCAGUUCAGGCGGCGAUUUAUGUUGGUGCUGAAAGUACUGCCAGCACAGCUACAGGAGACCUCCUGAGCUCUGGGGCUCUAAAUCUCCUGCCACUUGACAUUAGUGAACAUCAACUCUGUUUCCAUUUUCCACAAGAAGAAAAAAAAUAGACUUUUUUUAAUUUUCCUUUUUUUUUUUUUUUUUUUUUUUUUUUUAAGCUAGGAGAGGGGUAUGUUAGUAACUGAUACCAAUGUGACCUCUGUCUGACUGACAGAAGGUUCAUCACUGCGUACUAUACCUGUCACCACAGUAAUGUAUGGAGUCUCAGCUGCCCAGUGAUUGCGAAGUGAAAAUUCCCAUCUCUGACCUAUAAGUUGUAACCUUUGGAUGCAUUGCAUGAAAUGCAGCUUCAGUGGUGAGCUGUGCAGUUGUUGACAAGGUGUGGAAAAUGAAUAUGAAAUAAGAUGAGCGUUUUCCAGCUUCCCUAUUCAACAGCAGCUUCUGACUGUCUGUUUAGUGAAACACUACCAAUAUGAUAAAGGAGAUAAAGAAGACCUUUAUUCCAGAAGGUAGCCUGAAAGGAAUACUUUUCUACUGGGAAUCUGGAUCUGGAUACCAAAGGUUUCAAAUGCCUUCUGUGUUUUGCAAAUUAUUAUGUGACAGCUAAAAUUAUACGAAAACAUCUUUCUUUUCUAGAUGAUUUCACAUUCCCAACAAAUUACUUUACUUACUCUUUUAACAUUCAUGUUCUAAUUGUGUAUAGAAUAUAUUAUUUUUUAAUAAAUUUACAAAGCCUGGGAAAAUCCAUGUGGAAUUUGUAUCCAUAGAGGAGUUCUCAUCAAACAACUAAUAUUGUGCUUUUGUCAGCUGAAAGCUGGAAUGGUUCCUACAUAUUAUCACUUGAUUAAAGCACACAGAUAGUGAAUUCCCAAAGAAAAUCAGAAAUUGCAUGAGCAUUUGGUACUGUUUCAUUCUGUGUUCAGAAGGAUACAGGUGGUGAAGCCAAUGAGCUACAGAUUUACUGAGACUAGAUAACCAUAUAUUAAAAACAAACAACAACAACAAAAGAAUCCCAGCUCAAUUCUGGCCGUAUCUAAUAUUAUAAAGUUACUUUAUUUGGUCUGGACUUUAUGAGAUAAAUUAAAUUAAGCCACACUACAUGCAGUCCAUUUUUGUCUUUUAUGGGAGAACCUUUCUAACUUUCUUCUGUGAUAAAGAAAUUCAAUGCAUCCUGUCAGGGUGAGAAGGAAGGAAAUCAGUUUUAUUGAAAUAAGAACAAAAUGAUAGUGUCAGAAACUGUAUCCAAGAGAUAAAAUAUUACAUCUAAUAAACACAUUACAUAUGGGAUUAGACAUGGGCCUCUAGAAUUACAGCACAACAGAAGUUAUAGGAAAACACUAACAUUAGUAUUGAAAAAUAAUGACUAGAGUUCCUAUUGUGGUUAAGAAAGCAAUAUUUGCAUUUUUAUUAAAGGAGCUUAAACAGGAGGAAAAGCUUGCUAUCCUUGAAUGUUAGUUUUUGUUUGAGGCCUAAGUCUGAAAGCCUUGCUCCUGCCUUUUAUUUCAGUGAUCUAAGUAGAAUUACUUCCGUGGGUUACUGGACCACUUGGUGAGUUCAUUAUGUUAACUGAUAAUAUACAGUCUUCAAAGACAAAAAAAAAUAGUAAGUAACCAUCCAUCGCUUCUGGAUAGCCAACAUUUCUACCUUCAAAAGUAUUUUCCCCUCACUGUCCAUUCAGAGGCAGGUAGCCAAUUUAUUGCCUGGGACUAAAAGCAUGCUACAGAUGUACAGAGACUUCACUACAACUUGAUGUGGCCAACAUUGCUUAAUUAAGCACAUAAUCAAUCACUCAUGCCUUCUCCUCCCUCUUACAUCUCUCCUUAUCACUUCAUAAUUUCCAUAUCCCUGCCAACAUGAAGUGAAACAGCAGCAUCUAAACAUCCACCCCCUCUUUCGUCAGCCCAGCAUUGUGCUGGCUGUUUCUGUAAUCAUAAAACUUGUAAGCAUGCACAGCGUAUACAUUGAAAUGUUACUCCAGAUGCAGCUUCCUUUGAGUUCAGCAGAUCUUUCACCACUGAAAGACCACUUGUCCUGUUUUUUGAAGAAGUUGCUGGUGUAGUUCCAGCAGCUGUUACCUUAGAGAGGAAUGGUGAAUUUGCAAAUGCCAAACUGGAGUGAGGUGACUGGUUCUUAGCACCACUUAGAUUUUUUUAUGACUUUACAGAAAACAUGUGGUCUGCCCAAGAGAGGAAAAAGAAAAAAUAAACAAAAAACCCACUCAUGUUGUCUGGGCAUCCAUUCAGGUAUCUGACUCUGGGCUUGGCGUUCCUGUAACUCUCCUGCCCAUCUAUCCUGUGUUGCAGGGCUCUAAGCCUUUAUGGGAACAACUUGGGCAGGCGUGUCUGAUCAGCACUCAAAUAGUGUCAGAGGACAGCAUGACAGGAUGCGUGGCUGUUGCCUCAGGCGAAAAGCCUAGCCACCCGUUUCCAGCUGCCCAUGUGUGUGGCUGGAGAUGGAAGACUCAAGCUUUCUCUCCCACUGUUAUCAGUAUUUCCACAAAGCCGUGGUAACCUACACAUGUUAUGGUGUGCAAAGAACAUGCAAAUCAGACUUGUACUUCAGCAUUGCUUUGCACCUAUGCUUAGAAUGUAGCAAAAAUGUAAUCUCCACACCUAAGUUCUCUACAAAAUAAUGAUAGCCAUCCUUUCUUUCUCACACCCUUUGCAUGUAAUUAUCUAUUUAACAUUCAGAAUUUUUGUCUCUUCCCAUGUUUUCCAGAGCCUAGCACAAUUUGAACCUGAUCAUAGGCAGGAUCUUUGGACACUGCUCUAAUGCAAAUAAUUCUAAUGAUAAGAGUAAUGCCCCAUGGGUGUUACAAAGCUAUCCUAGUAUACAAACCUGAUUGUAAUUUUAUUUAGAUUUUAUAUUACUGGCUAAGGGUGUUUAUCUUCUUGCCAUGUGCAGACAUGUAGUUAGUGCACACUGGCUAUGGGUUUCCAAGAUAAUGCAAUGCAAACAAAUCAUAUAUCGUCUGAGAAUGAGUCAGGCCGACAUUUCAACUUGAUUUGAUUUACUGUCACCUGUGUUGCAAUGACUAUUAGUCUGUUGAAAUAAAAAAAGAAAGGAAAUAAGGGCUUUUAAGGCUGGUGUGGGAAAAUACCUGUUAUAUAAGCAUUUUUGUAUCACAGAAGGAAUAAAAAAAGGGGGUUAGAAGACUUACAGCACUUGAAAUUUAAAAUGUGAUGCCUCCUCAAAAAAAAAAAAAAAAAAAAAAAGUGUUACGUUUGCCUUGAUGACAAGGUGAAUUCCCCUGAUAAGUCUGGUCUGAUUUAAUUCUUGUCCAUGCUCCAGCCUGACUUAGAGUGGUAGAAACAAGUGGAAUUCCACCCAUAGUAAGUUCAGGAUGGUCUUUCCCAAUGCACAGUACUGUAGCAUAGGAAAAACUCCAAAUUCAGGUCUGGAUGGAUUUCUUCACCACUGACGGCUAAAGUGAAAACACUGAUCCAAAUCCUCCUGACUGGUGGAGGGAUCUGACACUCUCAUCUGCCUGGGGUGGUCAGGCUUUGAUCCACGCUGUAAUGCUAAAAACAUAUAGAAGUUUAAUAGCUUUCCAUAUGAAGGCACUUUCAGAGCACAGAGUAGGAAACAGUGCAUUAGGUUGUUUUCCAGGAUGAAUAAUAUAUAUUUUCCUAAAUCACUGGUUGGCAAAAAUUCUGCCUUCACUCCCCUCUAGCCUCAGCCAGGCUGGCACUCCCCUAUGUAUUAGUUUUGUGUUUUGCCGACUGGACCAGGAACUGAAAGCUGUGUCGACUGGUAGUCUAUUUUGCUGGGUGUUUUUGCUGUGGAUACACUCUGAACUGCUGGAAUACCUGCUGCUCUUGAGCACAGAUAACAAGGUAAUGUAAGAAAAGAUUUCAAAGGAGACACACAGACAUGUUGUCUCAUACCUUUUCUGCUCCUCAUUAUUUAAAGUCUGAGAGAGAGAUGUGGGGGAAAAAAGAGCUCUUCACUGGUCCCGUGGGGCUGCAAAGACAUCAGCUCGUGAAUAUUUCACAAGUGUAUCUCUGUCCUGUAACAUUGCUGUACAGUUAUCUGCAGUUCAAAGGUAAGGACAACAAGAGAUGUUGUAUAUUUCAUUACUGAGGCAAGCACAAGAGCUUAAUUUUUGCACUGACAAAAGCCAGUUUUUUUUUUUUUUUAAUUCAGUUAUUAUGUUAUCUCAAUGACAAUGAGAUAUAGUUUAAAUCUUAAAUCUAAAUCAUUAGUCUAUGAUCUCAGUUUGCUGCAUCUUCUGCACAUCUAGUGAAUCUCUAACCUGCCAGGUACAGUCCAAAGUCAAAGACCUUGUUUUAAACUGCCUCUAAAUGGCAAAUGGCAAGGUUUAUUUUCUGUUUUACAGACUCAGUUUUGGUAUAUCUGUACCGAUUAUGCUUUCCAUAACACUAGCAUUUAAACAAAUUUCAAAUAUGCAGCCCUCUUGCAAGCAGUCCUAUAGUUGUGUAUUUGAAAAUCUUUAAUGGGAUGGUCCAAGACACGGCUCAGAAUACGUUUGCUGUGGUAACUGUGACUGCAUAAUCUCCAAAUUCUGGGGAGCCUUGCUUAUUUCUGGAGACAAGAAUGUAUUUUCCAUCUCAAUUCUCUUCUCUUUUCCUUCUGUUUCUUCCUCAUCCCGGAAGGAUUUGCCUUUUUCUCUUCAGCUGACUCUGAUUUCAUCGAAGUAGUUUUGAUAGUGAAAAAUUUAGAAGAAAUGGAGCUUGCCUGCAUGAAAAGAAAGGAAAGCAAGAGGAACCACACAAAGGAAAAGUGAAAUAACAAGCAAAAUGCAAAAUACAAAUUGCUUUUACCCAUCUUGACUGGCAAACAAAGCAAAACAGCAUCAGCAUGCACUGGAGUGCUUUGUAAGAUACAUGUUGUUAAAGAGCCUUGUGUUUUCAGUUAGCUGAUUCUGUAAUAAAAAUUGUUGGUACUGGCAGAAUUGCAUCAUUGUUCUUAGCAAGAAAAAGCAAUUUGGCCUAUUGUUUUCAGAAACAGUUUUCUCUUAUAAAAACAAUAUAGUUGUUUAACCUAAAUAUAAACACAUCUGAUGUCAAUAAUUCUAUAUACAUUACAGACAGUUACAUGGUCUUUAACAACUGUCAGUGCUAACAGAUAAAUUCUACUUUGCUGCAUUUGCUCAUUUAUUACCAAGAUUAAAAGGCACCAUCGUUCCUGUUGGCUCUUGGUGCUCUCUGCAGCACUUCUUGGUGCUCUCUGCACACAUGAAUUCUGGCAUUUGAGAUCUGGAAUCUUUCCUCCAUGGGACUAAAAGUGCUGCUGCUGUGACUGUUCCCUUCCAGCCUGACUGCUGCAGUUCAAAAAUUUCUGGGGAUAUGUAAUUAAUAUGUUUAGCACUGAAACACUGUAUAAGAGUGAUAGAAGAAGGGGGAAUGGCUUUAAACUAAAAUAGUGGAAAUUUAGGUUAGAUGUUACCAAAAAAUUCUUUACUCAGAGAAUGGUGAGGUGCUGGGACAGGCUGCCAGAGAAGCUGUAGGUACCUCACCUCUAGAAGCGUUCAAGGCUGGGUGGGAUGGGGCCCUGGGCCCCAGUCUGUUGGGGGGCAGCCAGACCAUGGCAGGGGGUUGGAACUGGAUGGGUUUUAAUGUCCCUGUACUUUGCCAUGAUUAAGCACCUUGUUUCUGAGCAUGGAUGCAACCACAUAUGCACAUCUAGACCCUCUAGGAGACACAGCACACCUAUCAGUUAGCAGGUUGAUUCUGGCUGACAGGGAAAUGCCAAAAAGUACAUUUGUGAUGGCACCUCUUUGUUUUAUAAAGAAAAUGGAGCCCCGGAGAUGAAAGGGGAUCUGGUCACAUGGGCCCCAGCACUGCCGUUCUGAGUCAUGACUGGAGACACAUCAGUAGUAAGACCACAGAUAAUGAGCUAUGGUUGGAUCAAAAUGCUGAUAAUGCAUCAAACUACUUCAGUGCAGAUUUGGAGGCUGCUAGUCAUAAUAUAAUAGAAUACAAUGGAACUCUGAAUAUUGUUACUCAUAGAGAUGAGUGCUCAGGUGCUUACACCUCCAUGAAUAAAACCACAUAGUUCUCAUGGAAGUGGGAUUCAAUAUAAAAUCACUCCAGAAUAUGUCUAUAAGCAUCAAAGACACAAUUUGAUUCCUUUGUCCUUCCAGAGAACUUUCCUUCAGGUUACUUUCAUGUGAGUUUUAAUAGUAAGUCCUAAAAUGCCAGCAAGGCAUCAAAUUGCACAAAACUUCAACUCAAUUUUUCUGUUUUAAAGAGCAUUAUAUUUUCCUUGUUAUUUCUACUUAGAUUUGUAAGGCAAAAAUUAGCAAUUAAAAGUAGUGUUCCUAUACUGUAUCUAAAACAGGUUUAGUGCAUCCUGGUUUAAAUCAGCGGAAUGUUCUUAGGGUGUGGCUGAAAUACCUUACAACUUCUUUAAAAUACCUCAUUCAUGUGUGAUUAAACAGCAAGGCAUUCUGUGAGUUAACAUGACAUUAAUUCUAUAGAAGAAAUAGGAGUUGACUGUUUAAUAGUUUCUGUUUAAUGCUAGGCCACACAGAAAAAUGCCUCUGUGAAUUAUCUAGAGGGCUGUUAGGGAAGGAAAGAUAUUAAUUGGUAUGAUGCAAAGUGGGAGGGACAUGUAAGAAAGGGAAAAUGAAAGGGGAGUACAGAAAACCACAGUUGUAACCAUCUGGUUGAAGAAUUGUUUUGAACUACUCAUCACUGCAAAGUCUUACUUUAUUGUUUGAAGCGUGUUUAGGAGUACCAUUGAUUUAGGAAAAAAAAAUCAUUUUUUUUUUAUUAUAAAUUCAUGAUUUAUAUUCCUCUCUCCAUUGGUUUUGGGGAAGAACAUUGAAUUAUUUGGUUAAGCUCUAGGUUUGGGUUGUGUUUUGAGUUGUUUUUUCUGUGUUGUUUUGUUUUGCUGUUUUGUUGUGUUGUUAUCACUCUUCUUUUAAACUCUUUUCUUUUUCUUUUUUUUUUUUUAAUAUUUUUUUCCUAUCUUGUUUGUCAGAUGUGAUCAGUGCAGAGGUUUUGAAAGCUCCUAUUCUCAAUGUUAUCUAGCUCUUAUUUGCACAAUUUAAGAAAAAAUGUUUCUAUCGGCAAUCAAUAAAUUAUUUGAGAAGUUAAGUCUCUGUCUUCCAAGCAUGUUUAAAUUUGGCCAAAUCCUAAACAGCAAAGAAGUAACUCCAUGUUUAAAACAAUGUAAAUGUAUCCCAGUUGUGGAAAAGAUUUGACAUGUUGUCAGCAAUUUAUGUCCAAGGAGAAUCUCAGUGUUGUGCAGCUUACAUAUCAUCUUUAGAAAACUGUUCUGUGUUUGUUUGUCUUUUUCUUCUUCUUCUUCUUCUUCUUUUUUUUUUUAAAUAUAAUUCUCAUAUUUUAUCUGAAGAAAUUUUAAAUACUGUAGAAAUGCUAAAUAACUUAGCUUUGCUGGUAGCAUAUUCUCAUCUCCAACAUUAACUUUCCCUUUCAGAAAUGUGGAGUUCUAUUGUGGAGAAAAAGCCACUAGUAUUGGAAAUUCGUUACUCUGUACUUCACAAAAUAGGAAUAAAUUUCGAUCACUGCUUUGAGUGAGGAUGGAAAAAAGUAUGACAUGAGUGUCAGCAGGCUCAGUAACUGAGUUAUACUUCUUUCAGGGAUCAUGGAGAUCAGUAGCUACAAAUACGUGACAGAAGAAAACUGUCAGAAGUUCAGUUCUUGAACUGCUGCAGAGUACAGAUGAUAAGUGAGUUUGUGUAAUCAGAUGCCUUGCAAGAAGCACCAGACCACCCCUCCUUAUGACUGCAGGACUGUUGUGUACAGGCUAUUCCAGGACUUCAGUUCUUCUAGUUCCCAUUUUUAAUCCAGAUGGACUAGGAAAGGAGGGGGGAGAAACACGACUCACCAACAAUACCAUAAACAAAUCAUGCAGAAUAAUGAUGUAGGCUCUACUCAGAUGCAUCACCCUGCUUCCUUUGAUUCUGAUAGUCUCAUUAGUAAUGUUGCCAUUGCUGUGUGAUUUAUUUAGGGGCACUGUGUCUGCAACUGAGCUGUGUGAUCUAUACUAAGCUACAUGGUUGAAUACACCUGAAUAGUGUAACCCUAUGGAAUAUGGAGGCAAUGUGUUGUAACUUACAUAUCUUCUUCUGGAGAAUUAUGAUACAAUCUGAUUUAAUUUUUACCUGAUGUUUCACCUAUUAAAAUGAGACAUUUAAAAAGGGGGGAAUUUGCAGCUGCUGGUUUCUCAGAAAAGAUCAACUGUUUCUGUAAUUAAUAUGGAAGAUAACAAUUUAAAAUAAUGAAACACCCAUAUUAUGUUUGAAGAAAGCAGCUUGUUGUUAUAAUUAGAACUAGAAUCAAAUUGUUCUGAUGGCAAACACCAUUUACUGAACUCCAUGAAUGGAGCAGCUUCAGCAAGCAAAUAACAUAAGUGGGAAAAUACCAGAAACGAAACAGAACAUGGAAAAAUUAAGCUGAUGAGAAAAUCCUACAGCUGAACUUUUCGAGGCCCCCCUCUAAAAGAAUAAUGCACUCGAAGCAUGCUUAUGUUUCUGGCAGAGAACGUGGAGCUAUGACCAAGUUCUGACAUUGUCACAGAUUUCACACAGUGCCAUGAGGACAAUGGACUUCUCAGGAGAUUGCAUUACAUCCUUUCUGUGGCAGUACCGGUAGACAAGGUGAAAAUUCAUCUGUGUCACUUGCUAUUGUUUCAGUCUGCCUUGGAGAGCUAAGGCAAUGGGCCUGCCCUCCCAGCUAAUGUUUCUUCCAACAAUUUCUGCUGUGUGCCUUUUCAAACAUUGGCUGUUUACCAUGUGAAAGCCUCAUGUGAGAAUCUGCAUGUGGGCCCAAACUUGACGUUCUGCUUCUGGUGGAUUUGAGCUGUUGAUUGGUGAUUUCUCAAAUCUUUAUUUCAAUGAUGAAGCUUGAAAAUAUUGUCUUCAGGACAUUGGGGUCACUCUAAUUUGUUUUUCCCUGGGCUUUACUUUCUCUGCUGUGUUACACUGUAGAAGACACAAGAGAGAGAAGUGCUAUUCCUCUCUUGUUUCAAUCUGCAAAAUCUCUGCUUAUUUUGACAAUGAAUUUUAAUUUCCCUGCUUAAGAGACAGGUGAGCAUAGAGGUGGAAUACAUUUUGGGCCUGUGACCCUGACUGGGCUGUGUCACUAGCUGAGGAAUUGGUGGACUAAAAUGAAGUGUUCAGCAACUGUUGGAGAGCAAAACACACAAAAGAAAACCAAAUACUACUUCAUUGGUUUGGUUUCUGCUAAUUACAAACAGAACCCUCAUCUGAAACUGAUAAUGAAGCUCACAGGAUUUUACAGUGGAUCAUAUCUACUCCUAUUGCUACUGGGAUGUCGAGAAUAUUCUCAUUUCUCAUGCCAUGGGAGGCAGUGUGAGCAGGGAUCCUUGUCCUCCUCCUCCAAAUAAACCUACUCUGAUAGGAUGGGUUGUACCCUUAGUAGGCUUGAAAUACAUGGAGAUCCAUGGAAAGUAUGUUCCCUUAACCAUUCCUAAAAAUAGGCUUCUGUACAUUGUACUGAUGGCUUAGCUGAGAGGAAUCGCUUUGCUGUGAAUUUGAAGUAGCAGAAGGAUUUUAUGUAUUAAUUCCUUCAUGUGCUUUAAUAAUAGUUUUUAGCAUUGUUUAAUUUGUGCUUGAGCAUUGCAACCAACAGAGAUUGUUCAUUAUUGGUAAGCAUUUGCUUGUACUAACAAGAGCAUAUGUGUAGCAAUACUAUAGCAGAGAAAUACCUGCUUUGGUUUUAGAUUAGUUUAGUAAUGCAUUUUCUUUUCUUACCCACAUUUUCUACACACAUCUUGGGAUCUUCAACAGAUUUUUGUAUUUCUAAAAGGUUUAGAACAUGUCACUUUUAAUGAAAUUUCUUCAUGUCGCUAUAAUUUUCCUGUAAGUUUCAGUUUUUCCUUGGGCACUUUGGCAGCUGAUAUAGUAGGAUCCCAUCCAAAACAACGCAGCAGCAUCCCUAGAAUUCCAUCUUGCCGUGUGACACUGCUGCUGAAUCUGAAAGAUGCAAUUGAAGACUGAAAACCCAGCAUGUAUGAGCAGGAGAAAAGUGCUUAAACCACUGGGCAGAAUAGGCAUACUGCCACACUUAUUGGUAAACAAACUAAACAGGUGGAAACUUCAUUUUUGAAACAGCUUUCCAGGUUCCUUGAGUGCAGAAUUGUUGUAUGACUAUAACUGAUCAUACGAUAAACUUAUCAGACUUCCCGUUUGUCUUUUGUCCUAAACUAUUUGUAAUGUAAUGUGGUAACAGCAGCUGAAUUCCUCCUACUCCAUCCAGAUAUUUACUUGCUAAAUGGUCCUUGUCAUCAUGGUAUCUGAAUGCCUCUCACACACUAAUGGAUUGUAUCCAUAAACUCUCCAGUGAGAGCAAGAGAAUAUUAGCCCCAUUUCUACAAAUGGGAAAAAAGGUAGAAGUGAUACUCUUGUCUAUUCUCUGAGUGUAUCUCAAAGGAAUAACAGAAACUUCUUGAAUUAGACUUCACACCUAGACAGGAACUCAGAAGGGAGCUCUGUCACAACCAUCUCUUUAAGGGACAAAUAGCCCUCAUUGUGCAUAGGGUAGGAAAUGACUUUUCUGAGGUUAUACUGGAAAUCUGUGACUGAUGACAGAAUAGAACCAAGGUCCCUUGAGUACUGUAUUCAGCGAGGUUAUGUAUCCAACUAUAAUUUCUAUGUAACACUUAUUUAGUUAAUAACACAAAGUGGAUUUAUUUGUUUGCUUUUUUGUUUUGUUUUUCAUUUUUUCUUUUUUUUUCCCCCUGAUGUUUUUAUCUUUAAAUGCAUUUCAUGCUUCAGGUUCACUGUAGUUCAAGAAAGUCUAACAUAUAUUUAUAAUGAUCCUGGAGACAAUAUUGUUGUCCAUGAUGUCUGAAGCAGAAAAAGCAGACUUUGAUUUUCAUAAGCUCUAAUGACCCUCCUGGGCAGUUGGAAAUGUACAUUGUUUGAGAUAAUCAGACAAACUGAUUCCAUUAUAAAAAGACGUAUUGUUUUUAUUUUAUGUUUCACAAGCAUUUUGUCUAAUUAUUGCUGACAUUUCCAACCAUAUUGUGAAUUUUUUCAGGGGGAAAAGAAGGAGUUUAUCUCCAUUAAAACUGGAAACAAACUGAUGCUAACUGUUUUUAUAAACUGAAAACACUAAAAUAAAAUGAAAUGCAUUAGAGCAAUUAGGAAGAAUUAUAGCAAAGUCUGUCUCGCCUAUAUUGUUACUUGUGAAAAAGAAAAAAAAAAAGGACAUACCAAAGAUUAUCAUUUUGCAGUAUGAGUCUGUUGUUCUAAAAAAGCACCCUGAAUGUUUUUCAUUAAGCUGUUUAGCACAGGAAAUCUGUUAUUGUUUAACCCUUUCACACACCAAAGUAUUGAAACGCAUUUAAAUGCUGAAAUAUAAAUGCAGACACAUUAUACACAAUCAUUUAAGAUUCAAUUAUUCUGCAUGUUCCCAGUUGUUUUUAUAGAUCCUGACAUAAGUUUCUUGGGCUAAAAUACCAUAUAGUAUCUAUCGACAGAGAAGUGCAGUGUCUUAUUUAGUAGGAAUGGUUUGAAGGCAGUGCUGUGAGAUUCUCCAACUUGUGCGCAGUGAUCCUUUUCUGAAGCAAAAGAUGAUUCAGUCAUUGUUAUUGGCUGACCAGCAAGUAAUUGGUUAACACUACAGAGUUUGUAAAUCACAUUGAGAGCUUGAUUGCAAUCCUAUUACUGUGGGGAAGAGCACCGUUUCUCAUUUGUAUUACCUGGAGAUGAAUUCAGUCUUCAAAAGUACAGAUAAUUUUUUUUUUUCUUUACAUUAGGAAGUUGUGAAUCUAAUACCUGGUUGAAAACAAGGGCAGUUUGACAUAUCUGGCUGCAUCCUGCUGUACUUUAGAUAUAGCAAUCAUGAAGAACCAAAGCAAGGUCCUACUCCAGGUAUAGCUGCAGCUGUGAUUGGUCUCAAAAAGUGACCUGAUAUCUGUCUUAACAAAAAAAUAAAAAAUAAAAAAAUAGUUAAUUCUUAGACAGUAACCACAGACUAAGUAUUUCUGAAGUUUUUCUUGUCUACUGAUUUUUGUCCUGGUUGUCUGUAUAAUCUUGUCCCUGAUCUUCCUUGGAGAGCAGAUUUUCUUAUGAAAGUGUGCUUUAUUAGUAAGAAUCUUCCCUAGGUUUUCCACUGCUUUUCUAGGAGCAAAUUUGCUAGAGUUAAUGUAAGUCCAGUGCACUGCCUCCUCAAGUUUAAGGGCUACCAUUAUGACUGGAGUAAAUCUGCUAAAAUCUAUUGGUGCUAAUCACUGUUCUUGAUAUUAGCUGUUACACUAUCUGUCUCCUUCAAAGAAAGGCCUGCUGAGCACAUUUAUCCAAAAUACUCUGUAGCUCCUGCAGUCAAACACAGCUAUUCGGAAAGGACAUAAUCUGUUUGUCUUGAGAACUUUGCCAUGUACUCAUAAAUCUUGUGAAACAACUAUACAUCUGGGUUGCACAGGACAUACCAGACUGUGAGAUAAUGCAACUGGAGAGAUGUUAACACAGCCAGGUAAAAAAAUAGAUCUUUAAAAAACAAAAUCUAGGCUGACUGUGGUUUAUUAUUCUACAAGGAAAAAAUGGAAAUAAAGUAGUGUAAUUUUAAUUAGGCUUAUUAAUCUUGGCAUCUACCCAAGUUAUCUCAGGGACUUUUGACAACUGUAGUUCCAGGUCUUUGACAGUCUGUCAGGUUCCUCUAUGGGUGGUUGCAGACGAUAUUUCCUUUAUAAGUCGUGAUAGAUAAUUUCUCCCAGGAUGUAACUGGGUGGGAGCACUUUCAUUAUGAGACAUCUAAAAGAUUUCAUUUUAUUGUUUCUGAAUAGGAAUUGCAGAAAAAGAUAUUCUACAAAACGUUUGACAUUUUGAAUUUAUUUUCCUGGUCUGUGAGAAAAUCAAAUGCAAGAAUACUGCCUUAUUAUUUGGGAUGGAUAUUCAAUUUUUUGAUCAACUGAACAGUGAGAAACUGAAAAUUGGUCAUGAUUAAUGACAGUGUUACUGAUCUUUUUCUCUAUAUUAAAAAGAAACCCCAGAGUUCAAAAAGAGAAAUAGUAGAAUGUAAAACUACAAAAGUAAAAGGCUAAUAUUUUGUUCCAUGUUUUUGUUUUCUGCCUCAGGAAAUGUACUGCAUACGAAACAUAGUUAAAAAAAAAAAGAGAGAGAAAGAAAAAGGAAAAGAUUAUUUCUUUGAAGACAGCAGACAACACAAUUUUAGUAAAUAUAAUAUUUAUAGGACCUUGCAAUUAAUUUACAAAAAUUUUACAUCAAAAAUGUAUGCUGAUGAUUUUAGUCUUUAGGGACGACAAUUGUCUCCUCAGUCAUGUUUUCAUACACUAAAGGCAAUUAUUGUUGCUUCUAGCUGUAAUAAAAAAAUAACCAAAACAGAUAGAAAUGUCUUAGUAGAAAUUGAGCUGAAACUCCCACUGUGGAAAUAAUCAGAAAAUUAAAAGCUCUGCAAUCUUGCAAAUAACAUUGCAACUUAAUAUUAUUGGAACAUAACAUUAUUAUCUCUUUUUAUAGGGGAAACAAACAUAAAUAUGUUUUCAAACACUGCUGAUGUUAUGGUUUCUCUUUAUUGGCUGACAGAAAGGAAAGAAAAAGGAGAAAAACAAUAAAUUUUGGAGUUGCAUAUCAAACAACCAACUGGGAAUCCAUGAAAAAUGAUCAGCAGUGGCAGGAGUAUAUUCUUGCCACCAUUAGGUCAGCAUCUUCUCCACUGAACUGUCUCCACGACACCUAUGAGACAUGGCCCAUCUGCCAUCUGAUAGGUUUUAAACUAAAUGUUAUUCAUGUUUGGUUCACUUACUCCUUUAUUAGCUACUGUUAGCUUCACAAUCUGAGCAGGACAGUUAGAAACUCAGAGCAAGAAAGGCAACUAUUUUUUUUUUUUUUUUUUUUUUUUUUUUGAUCUUCUUUGACUGAGCAGCAGCAGGCCAUAAUGUAGUCUCAAAUUAAGAGAAAUUUACAUCACCCUACUUUUUUCUUCUUUGAGAGUAAACCCACUUUCGGGUCUAUUUCUGCUAGAAACAGACAUCUGAAAUAGCUCACCAGCCACAGUGGGCAGACUCUGAACUCCUGGCUGUGUGAAGUCCACUGAAUCCUAUGGUUCUCUACUGCAUUUAGUAACGGCUCAAAUCCAUUAAAGAAGUUGCACCCCCUUUAUGACAGUGCGACAAAAUAAAUUUCAGAUUUGAGCCUCCCAGAAUUAUACUUCCUGCAGCCUUUGUUAAUGCUUCUAGCUUACAAGUUAAUUCAAAGUGAAUACUUAUGCUCUGUCCUAAUGAUUAUUGGUAAAUGUUAUGGGUCUUUUACUUCACCUGUGACCCUAACAGAACAGCUUUAAAACAAGUCAUAAUUGUUCUUCCUGACACCCAUACAGACUUUAGGAACAGAAUCAUCUAAGCAAGUCUGAGAGGUGAUAGGAACCAAACUGAAAUUCCACCUGACCAUCAAAUCAAAGCCAGUCAUUUUCUUUUCAUAUCACAGUAGAAGCAUCUCAUGAUCCACAAAGAUUUUUCAAAAAGUAAUCCAAAGGUGUGGAUGAUCAUGCCAGUGCAAAGUAACCUCUGAGACCUCACUCAGUCAAAAGUUAGGCCAUAUUGCUGGCUUUCCUCUCUGUAAACAAAGUACCUUAAAUAUCAAUAUUAAUUUAUAUCCUACCAACAACAAACCAAGGGAUGCUCCAACAGUGUCUUAAGAAGUUAACUUCCAUCAGCUGGAAUUUAUCAGCCUUCAGAUGAAAGAGCAGCUGAAUGCAUGAAAGCAUUUAUAUUGCAGUUUGUGCUGGCUAGGUUUGUUCUACUGCUAGUAGGGACAGUGUGCUUGUGUGGAUAUCUUAUCUUGGCUUACAGUGUGUAUCUUCUUGCACAAGGGUGGUAAUUGCUAACUUGACUGUUAGUGAUCAUAGGCACAUAUUCCACGAAUUAGAUCGAAGUCCCUCUUACAGUAACGCUCUCUAGGGAAGCAUUGUCAUUUUCUGAAAUGUUUUUUAGGGAAAUAAAGGAAAACUAGGUAUAUUUUUUCACUUUCUAUUUUAUUUUUGAAAACAAGGUAUUUCUGAUAAUCCCUAAUACUCAGGAAAGUUCAAAUUAAAACCAGCAGUGCAGUACUAAACCCACAACUUCCGGAGUGAGAGAACCUGGAUUUGAGAGGAACACAUUAAUGUAGGCAAAAGAAAAGGUACAGAUAAGGUGCUGGUAAGAGACUUGUGGACAACAUGAGAAAAAAAAUAAUAAUAAUCAGGUGUGAGUAGCAAAUGAUGAAAAUAUAAUAAUGCCACCUUUGUCUGGACAUCAGUGUUUUUUGAAGGAUGUUGAAACCUACUCAUAUCAUAAGGUCAGUUUGGGAAUGAAAAGGAGUAUCUUCUGUUCCAGGUUUAAUUUCCCAGUAACUGGCAAUACCUACAGGCAUUGCUAUCUAGUAUCUGACAGCAUCUAGCAUCUAAAUAUGAUAGAUAAGAGCCUGGCAGACAGGCAGGGGACUCCCUCCCUCUGUUUAUUCAUGUGAAAUUGGGAGGAGAGAAAAACCUCCACAGGAUUUCUGACCCCCUCUUUCAGCUCCACCCCUGUCAAAAGCUGAAACUAAUGAGCUGGAAAUAGGAAAUGUGCAAAAUACCUGACACUUCCCUAUCUGAACUGCAUUCCUUAAGAGUUGUUUUUUUUAUUACUAGAUAAAUGCUUUGACAUGUGUAUUUAUGUGAAGUCUGAAUGUGAUUUAGAUACCAACUACCUGCUGAGCUAAGAAUAUUUGCUUCCUACUUAAACCAAUAUGUUUAUUUAAAGGAUCUUUAAGUUUUAAAAUGCCCUUGGCUUCCAUCUCUGUAGAUGGGUAACCUUUGUAUGUGGAAUGCGUUGUGCACUCCAUUUGUUAUUAAUAUAAAGUAAUAUUUUCCUUUUGCUCUGCUCCAUUCUUUCCUUUAGGAGCCUUUUUACUGUAGCAGACUCACAAAAAAUGUGCAUAUGCAUAUUUGGAAAAGGACAGAAAAGGUUGAUUCUCAGAGCUUCUUCUUAAAGAUGAUGUCCACCAAUCUUGCUUAAAUAGCAAACAAAGGGUCUUUGUUACUCUUGCAGAGAAUUAUUUUGAGAGGUAGGACAUUUCUUUUGUUCUGUGUCUUUGUGCAUAGCACAAUGGGGCUAGAACUUGUGGAUGCAGCUUUGAUGUAAAGAAUAAAUGGCAAUGUACAGACCGCAUGAGUUAAUUCCUGAUUUUUAUUUAAAAAGGUCUCAUAACUCAGAUUUGUACUUUCAAGGUAAAUUCCUUGACUCCCUACUCCCUGGUUAUUUGUGUUUAACACAACUAUCCCUUUGCUCAGAUGAAGUUCUCCCUAAAUUUGAAGGAACAAAUGAAUAAGAAUAUGCGGAUUUGUAACCAAAUGCAGAGAUUCUUUAUAUUUACUUUGAAAUCUGAAGAGCUAUUUUCAGGUUCUCUGAUCAGGAAAUGUUUAGAAGGCAGCUAGCAGUUAGAAGGCAUGGUCACAUUCUGAAAUUUCUAGCAAAAAUCAGGGUACCUUUUUAAUGAAAAUUCAUCUUGUAAAUAAAACCAUCAAUAUAAUGUAGGCUAAUCCCUUCUAGAAUGAAGUCCUCUGAAUGCAGAUGCAUAUAACAGGAUAUUUGGGUUCCUGUCAACAACAUCACUGACACAUGUGCUUUAAGGCUUUCACCUUCUAAGCCUUUCACCAGCAAUCUACAAUGCAAAGUUUUGAAGGCAAUUACUCUUUCUUUUUAAUUUGAGCCCACAUUCAAUUAAGUGGAGCCGAAUUGCUCACAUCCUUUCAGCCAAUUAGUCACAGGCUUAAGUUUUUGUUUUGUUUGUGCUUCUUUCCCUCUCCUCCCUGCCCCCUCCAGAGAUAUUCCCUCCUUGGAUUCCCUAACGAACAUAACCCAAACUGUCAAAACAAGUUUCUGGGUGUUAAGGCUUCAGACAGCAAGCUCUAAGCACCAAAUCCACAGCAAAGCAGGUGCACCCUUUGGAAAACAUGCAGUGUUUGGGGUUGGGAUCUGUCCUUGUGGGCAAACCACGCAACUGCCUUGGGGUGACAGCAAGUGGCAUAGCAGCGAGCGGGAUCUUUGUGCAGAAGACACAGUGGCAUUCACAGCUGAGCUGAAUCAGAUUGAAAAGGAACUGUCAAGUGCUGUGCGUGCCGUAAUUAACCUUUUUCAGGUUUCCUUCCCAUCUUUUAACCAAGCAUCCUUGCAGGCUAUUAUGCCCUAAAGCCCAUAAUGAUAUAAAGCUGUGAUGAUGGAGCACUGACCUCUCCACUCUGCUCGGAUCUGACCCGUAAUGUUUUGAGUAGCGGAGAUCUGAGCAUCUACUGAUAUUUUCAUACCUCUGUAAGAAGUAGAAGAAAAACCCACUUGACUUAUCUGUUGCAUAUUUCCACACCAAAAACUGUUAAAUGACAUUUACUGGGGUAGAGAAAGGGGUUCCAGGGCUCAUUUUUAAUGUAAUUGUUAAUACAAUAAUUUAUUGAGACUGUUCCCCUGUGGUGAAAUAAUGAAAAGUAACUGAAAAGGGCUGCAAGGGCAACUUGUGAGUGAAGGAUUAUGUUAAAGCAUUGCCCCCCUUGUGAUUGCUUCAAAUAUUUGUAUAAUAUAGUAUGUUGCCCUGAAUAGUUAUAAGUCAUAAACACUGAGCAGGACACAUUAGUAAGAGAUACUCAUUCCAAAGCAAAUAUUUCACUGGCAAUUAAUCCACGAGGUGAUAAGAAAGAUUUUGUGAAGAUUUAACAUAGGGGAAUUUAAAAUAAAUAAAUAAACAAAAAGAGGUGGGACAGGAGUCGAUUUUAACUAUGGUUUUUGUUUGUUUGAUUGGGUUUUAAGGUAGGAAAAAAAAAAAAAAAGAAAACCUGCAUGACAUGGCAAGAUCCUUAGGAACAUACGUGGUUGCAAGCUGCUAAUUCCAAUUAGACAAAUCACAUACUUAAAGUUAGCCCAAGAGCCUUGCAGAAUCUGAUCUAGAAAACCCAAAUGCUUUUAAAACUUAGGAUAUGGCUCAAAGGAACAUUGUAAAACAGGUUUUUUAAAGAGAGUAAAAAUGCUAAUCUGUCUAUUGGGAUUUUAUUUCUUUUCAUUAUGUAAUAGUUAAUAAUAUUUGAUUAAAAAUCCACAUUUGCAAUUAUAGUCUAGAAAUUUGCACAAACUGUUUGCCAAAGUCAUUACUGCAGUUCUAUAGUAACACCUUAUCAGUUUUGUAAGGAAUGCACUCUCCGAAUUUUUUCUGUAAAGUUGUUUCAGAAAAGCACUGCUGCAAUCACGUCACUUUUCAAAUCCCGCCCCUGACUCCUCUCACUACUACAUCAAAUCAAACAAGUUCUUACCCUGAGCUUGAGCACGCAGUGAACUUCACAUAACUGAGCAAUCACACGCAUAGGGCUGUUCACAUCCCCGUGGUUUUGCAGGUCCGGGGGCUAACUUUUCAUUAGCUCCUGACCUCUCUUCGUGGCUCACUCUGAACUAUUCUCAGCCAUCUUUCUUGUUCCCUGUGUGCAGACCAUCCACCUCACAUUGGCUGGGAAAAACACCCUUACAAAAUUUUUUCCUUGAACCCACUCCUAGCACGAUCCCUGCAUGAAACUGCUGGCUAAUACUGCCUAAAUAAAUGGCCAGGAGCAAUUCUGGUGUGAAGUUUUAGUUCCACUUAAUUUACCAGGGCAUCCACAUCACUGUCACAAAGAUUUCAUUCUUGAUCAUAUUGUUUUGUGUAUGUCUAUUUUAAUUCUUCUACCCUCUUCCCUUCCCCCAGUCUUACUUAUUUUAUUUUUAAUUGUUUUUACACUCGUUUGUUAUUCCUAGAUGCAUUCAGCAUGGCUGAAACUGGCUGUAUUAAGUCCUUUCAUGUCUUCCCCUUUCCCUGAUGGAUUUAAUCAUAAAUAGCUAUUUCAGAGAAUAUUUUCCCUAAGAAAUGCACAUGUCUAAGGAUAACUUUGUGGGUUUUGAUAAAGAGACAUUACUGUGAGCUGUAAAGGCUUCAUGAAAUCAGGAAGGGCUGACAGCAAAGUCCUUUGUUUUAUUGCAAAUAUCUAAGACCACAUAACUGAUAUAUGGCUGGCUUCACAUAUGGCUUGCCUUUCUUGCCAAGUCUACUGGAAGACAAGAAGACUGAUCCAAGAGUUAUUUUUUGCAUGUGCUUGGAAGUCCUGAUUGCAGAUUCCUCCUACAGUAGGGAUACACUAUUUCAGUAUCAGCUUUAUUGCACCAUGCUGAGAUUUUACAUCUUUAACCCUAUGUGCCUUGGCUGGCUUUAAAACAGUAAUUAUUUAAAAUUAAAGGAAAAAAAAAAAAGGGAGGAAAAGAAAAAAUGAGCUAAGUAAAACAGCUAAAAGUAUUUAUCUUGCUCUUACUAUUCGGGGUAAAACUUCCAUUCAUUAAAAAAGGGACUGAGAUUCCACUGCAGUCCCUGCAGGGCUGUUAAAGAUGACAAAGUAAUUUGAUAAUACUCUCUAUACACUGGAUGUGUUGCAACCUUCAGUGCUUUGCCUUCCCACCUGACCCCACAAGCACACCUUCUGGAUCCGUCACUGGGAGAUGGGGAGGAUCUGUGGGACACUAAUUCCCACUGACAGCUCCCAUUCUGCAUACGGGAGGCUGCUCCCAUUGUUCCUGGAAGCACUUCUCUAUAUUAUCCACACUGUGAUAGCUGUUCACUGCUUCUCCAUGUCUGGACAGCCUGAUGAUAAUUUGGGAAACAAAGCGGUUCUGUCAUGUUUGUUGGUAUUUUUUUUUUUUUUCUCUCCUGAGUUUUUUUUUGUUUUCAUUUUCAUUUUUCUUUUACUGUACCUGCAUUGUUGAGUGAGGUUUCCUAAUGUAAUCUUGGUAGCAUUUGCUUAGAGGUUGUCAUGCCAAAGUAUGAGGUGUGAGAAAGAAAAAGAAAUAUCUGUGAGCCAACAAAUAACAUUGAAAUGUAAAAAAAAAUAAUCCAAAGAAUAAUAACUUAUUCUUUACAGUCAGACUCAAAAACAGACUUUGAUGCACUUACAUCCUUUUGUCUUUACUGUUGCAUGAAUAUGGGACAGACUUGAUUAGAGUUUUCAAGGUUUUUCCUUGAAUUGGUGAAAUCUCACUGACGUGAUGUCCUCUGCCACUCUUUUAAAAAGCAUCCAACGUAAAUCCAGAGUUCCUAUAGUGCUGAACACUUCUCCAAGGGCCUGCUUUUUGGAACAGCUAUCCAGACAAAAGGAAAACGUAUGUAUAUGUUGCCUCCUUUCAUGGAUGGAAAAGUGAGAUUUGUCCUGUGUCAUAUUAGGAUCCUUCUAGUUCCCAGAAAAGUCAUCUACUCUCAUGUCUAUACACAGUUAUGGGGCUGACACAGAAACAUUGUAUAGCUGAUAAUUUCAGAGCAUUCUUUUGCUAUUGGUUUUGUACUAAUGCAGGAUAAAAAAUAUAUAAGAAACACAUGAAUAUUAAGAAUAGUGCUUGUCUGCCCAUCUGGGGAGUGAGAGCAUCAAAACCUUUUAUGACCACUUAUGUCAUGUGUGUUUGAAGGCACACAUCAUUCGAGUUUCUGCUUUCAUAAACAGACAAGGCUCCUACAGCGUAACCUAAAGACUUCACACAACUGGUGCAAAAGGCCACAACAUUAGCAGCAGAGCAGGAUGCAGAAGUCCAGAGUCUAAAGUGCUUUUCAUCAAAUUUAACCUGGGGUAAGCACAGAAUUAUAAAUGAAAAGGGAGAUUUAUUUUAUUCUUUUUAAUGGAGAAAGCUAUAAAAGGAAAGAAGCACACAUAGAAGAAGAAAUGGAAAGAUAGUGAAGCUGACACUAACUGCUAUCACAUGUGAACAGGAGCAGCAGGAAACACAGAAGACACUUAAUGUCAACUGCUGUGGAAAAAGAAAACUACAGCCACUCUUGAAGAGGAGGACAUACAGCUAUACUUGGCAACUGCUGUGAGAAUUGCUAAUAUGUGUAGCUGGCUGAGACGAGAAUGAACCAUCUUGUUGGCACCUUUUCUGUCAGGAAGGCAAUAGAAGCCAAUAUAAAAUGGAUUAAGAGGGCUUAAAUUACAAAAAAAAAAAAAAAAAAAAAAGAAAAAGAAAAAAAAAGAAAGAAAGAAUUGGCCAACAACCCAGUACAAGCUCUUUUAAAAAUAGAGAAACAAUGAUUCAGAGACACAUUAAUUGAAAUUUCCCAUUUAAAGACAGGAGUCUUACUGGAAGAAGAGUAAAGGACUAAGACUCUUGACUAUGUAGCCCAGAAGACAGUAAAACCGACACAGUGCUUUGUCAGACAAGAUACCUGGAUCUCUGCCGUCACCUCCUCUGCCUGGAGAAGGAGUUAGUUAUUUCCUUGCUAGAUGAAAAUAGCUCUAUCCAGAAGAUGUUCUUUCUGCACAUUGGCUGCUUAGGAAGGACAGACCACUCUCCUGAGAUUACCUUGUACUUUAUUUAUUAAUUAUACCUAUUGCUAAAGAAUUUGACCUGGAGUUUCAAGCAAAGGUGGGAAUGGGACUCACAAUGAAACAAGGUUCUUGGGAUAGAGGGAACAGCGCUAUGUGCAGAUAAAUUUUUACGUUGGUCUUGUAAGGUAAAGGUGCUGCAUUUGAUGAAAUACGCCUAUGAGUUCUUGGUAAAGAUCUCAGCUACCCUCAUUACAUUCAUAUAUCCUAAAGAUGCAUAUUAUCUACCUUCUUCCAAGCACUGAUAUUGAAAAAAAUUGUUCACUACCUCACCAAAGGAGCUUGUUGCAAAGAACUUGCAGUAAAUAGGGACAGGUGAAUAGUAUGUAAUUAUGUUCUUAAAGGAAUUUUUGCUUGAUAUUACCUUCCAGAUUCCCCCUCCUCAAAUAUCAGUUAUGGUUGUAUUUUUGGAGGAUGAUGCUUAUUUCAUUUGAUUAGAAUUGGAAUAAGUAAAUUGAUAUUACAUCGUCGCAGUUCUCUUCCCCCCCACUCCCCUCUACUCCUUUUAAUUUGAAUGCCUUAUAAAGUAUUACAUGUUAUAGUUCAUUAGGUUCUCAUUGAUUGGACAUUUACUAGCUUCCUAAGCCUGUUUCAUUGUUCUGCUGCUGUGCUUUCACCAUUUGGUAUUCGGCACUCUGCAUAAUGAAUAAAUUACAGUUGAGCAAACGGACAUCACCAUAUGGGGGUAAUUUGUACUUUGACAGAAGGACAGAGCUCCUGGACUGGUCCUAAAGGGAAGCUCUACAGUUUUCAAAAAUCCCCCUAUUUUUUUUAAAUUAUUUACUUUCAAAAGGCCCUUCCCGUCCCCAGUGUAUGCAGAUAGGAACUUUGAAAAGCAGUAAACUGGGGACCAGGCAUACAAGUUCUAAUUUUAAUUGCAGGGUUUCUUAGAUGCAGAUGAGAUGGUACAUACACUGAUUAACACCUUCAUGACUAAGGGUACUUGUGUGCAUUCUGGCAUCCUGGAAUAAUAUGACUAUGUGGAACAUUUUAAAAUUUAGUAACUUCGUGUUCCCUGCAUACUGUCAGAGAAUAUGGGAAAUGAAUUUUGGAAGCAAUCUAAAUUUAUCAUUGGUACUGGCAAGUAGCUGUUAUCUGGUCAUGCAGUCAUACAUUUUUUUUUACAUGAGAGAAAGUAAUAGAAUAAUUCUAAAAACUAAAAUAAUUGAUUUAUACUGGUAUCAACGUAGACACAAUAUGCAUUCCACAGCAGACAGUUAUAAUGCCACUCCAUUUUUACAGGAAAAAACUUACCUUAACAAAAGUAGAAGGAAGACUGUGGUCAAGAGCAAAAUUCAUACCCCAGCCCUAGAGAAGAUCACACAUAGUGUGUAUAAAUGAACAUCUUCCUUUCAUUUGUCACUUGCACACUUUGUCAGGACCCUUGAAGCUGCCUAUUCACUCCCCAUUAGACUUGUUCAAGAUCCAAAACAGUUCCUGCAGAAAGAGAAUUUAGCAGUAUUUUAAAUGAAGCUUUUCUCCUAACAAUUUCUAAACUUGUUUGAGAUGCUUUUUCUUACCCAACGUGUCUUUAUUUCAUGUAGUUCUGACACUCUCAUACUGAGGUUAAAAAUAGUGAGCUAAAAUAUCCAAGCUGCUAUAUAUUGACAAAGUUUUCACACCAGCUACUUCAUGACAUCAGAGAGAUAUAUUUCAGAGGAAAAUUUCCUUUACCUAUAGGAUUAUCUCAGCUUUUCAUCUACUGAAUUCAGCGUGCCAAAAAUAGCUUUCUGUUUUCCUCUGUAAUUUUUUUCCAUGUUAGAAGUGGGUCCCAAUUUCCCGCUCACUUUGUGGUAUUCCAGGAAGUCUCACGUGCAGCCACACUCCCCUAUGAGAUGAGAAACCAUAUACUUUCUUGAAACAGAAUUGGUAAAACUCAGACUCCAGUCUUUGCUUUAGGAAUACAUCUUACCUAAUUUUGAUCGAUGAGUCUCAACGCAGUUACUUAAAAGGAGAAAACACCUCUGUAGAGUGAAGUCAUACAUUCAUCCUUUAAGUUCCUUACAGCUCAUUCAGAUCAGCUGUCCCACCCAAAGUGAAAAAUUUGUGCAAGUAAUUUAUUUCAUUUUUCCCUCUCCACCACCCAGACCACCUGCAGCACAAUAUUGGCACAGUAGAUCUGUGCAAGCAAUUGCUUUAGUUCUUAUUAUAAGCAAGAAGAAAUUCUCAGAAAUUAAGAAUUGAAGUGUUUAAUUGCCAUCUUUUAAACAUGGGAUAAUCCAGAUUGACCCCAAGUGUUAAUACCACUGGAGCACGAUCAGAGAGAGCAAAGCAAGCAACCCAUAUUCAUAUCCAUAAGCUCUGGGUGUAAUCCACAGCAUAGUGAAACAGAAUCUAUUCAAGACUGACAUAAAUGGCAGCAGGGAAAAAAAAGAAUACAUAUUUCCAGCCAGACUGGCCACUCUCCAGGCAUUUAGUAGCUGGUGUUCUGUGGCUAAUACCUUAUUUAGUAUCCUUUGCUUAUUCAGAAACAUUGGUGAUUACUUCUGUUUCAUGAUUCUGACUGAAUUUUCUUCCCAGGUUUAAAAAGCUUUAAAAAACACAGUAAAUGGGAGGAGAAGUACAGAAGACAGCCUGGGAAACAUGAAGUCCUAUAGGAGUGCUCUGGUUCCAAAUUCAUUGUCAGUGUAUUUUCUAAGUCAUUCUUCCAGAGACCUCUCAUUUGGUGGCUAAUGCAAUUAAGAGCCAGCUCUGUGAUUUAACAGCCUCACUUAAUGCUAUGGAUAUCAAAGUAACAGGCUGUAAUGGAUCUGUAAAACUGUACAGAGACCAUUGUCAACUCUGUGAGGUUGUUCAUGAGCCUCCUGGUCAGAAACAAAGAGUAAGUUACCAGCAGUAUGAAGAACACAACUAGAGUACCCUUGGAAAUUGUUAACAGUUUUAUCUGCAUUCAGAGCAGAUUUUCUCUCUUUAAAUUCCAAAGCAAACCUCACUGAAAAUAAUUGAACUUUUGUUUUCCUUUUUAUUUAUUUAUUUAUUUAGUAAAUGCUAUCGUCUUUUCUGUUAAGGAUGAAGGGAAAUUGAAAACUUUAAUGAUUUCUUUAAAAUAUCUUUUAAGGGAAAAAAGCUCUGAUAUAAGUUUACUGAUACAAUUUCUGUAGCUUUUCAGAUAUCUAUAUUUCAUAAUGUGAAACGUUCUUUUACAUUCCUUGCAUGUCUCUGUGGAGUUCAAAUCUCAUGUAAUCCUCAUUUACUGGGAGUAAGAGAGGUGUAACCCGCUCAACUCUUGACUUUUGCACACAUAAAGCAGAGUUUAUAUACAAAAGUGCAAGCCUUGAUAGUUAUAAUGAGGUGGUAAAAUGUGAAGAUGCACUGUUGUAUCAUUUCUGGGUACCUCAUAGAGGGUACAAGUACAAAACUGCCAGAGGAAUAAGCAGGGCCAAUAUCAUUUAUAAAAGAUAAAAUCAGAGUGUGAAUUGCAAAGGCGUUGUGAAUAAAUUAAAAGAUGAAGUAUGAGAACUGAAUUUGGGAGACUGGUCGCCCACAAUGAACAGGUCUCCCCCAUACAGCCUUAUCUCAUACUUGAAGACUCUGAUGCAGCUGUCUGCAUUAAUAUAUUCUUCACUAGAAGGAUAUAAAUUUAAAAUUAAAGCAAUAUCCCUGCUCUCUAAUACUCAGAAAUAAUAAUAAUAAGAAAAACUAAAUAUCGUCUGAUUCUUUCAAUUGCUUGCUGCUGGAGUAGUAGUAUCUUGAAGUAUUGGUUAGAAAGAUGUUGAUGGAUUUUUUUAAGAAAUGUUUGUCCACAAAGCAAAUAUCUAAUUUUUUGGGGAGUGGUCUCAGAAUCUCUCAAUUCAUGUGUUCAUUCAUAUUAAUAUUUGACUUUAUUUAUAUGAUCUUGCAUAUAUUGAUUAUUAAUCAGUCACAGCUCUCUCCACUCACUGUGAACAUUAUAAAUGAAAACAACAUAAGACACUGCUUACUUAAAAUGAUCGCACUCCUACACCACAACUGUCUUUAAAUUCUAAUUUAAUUUUAAAUCAAACAUGCAAAUAAUAUUAAGCUUUUCAUUGUCUCUGCAAUUUGUUCAUAUCACUCCUUCCUGCCCCAAAUUUUUCUAUGUAAUAAACCUAAACUUUAACAUUUUUGCAGACCAGAGUGGAAAUUCUUAAGUUACUGUGAUGGGACACUCUUCCAGACAUGUUUUUCUGCACAGAAGAGCAGUGCCUACUGAUAUAAAAUUCUCUGUGACACCAUUUUUUUAAGAUACUUGCAGUUUGUGUCUGGGCAGGUGGAAUUGAAGACAUUACUGAUGCAACUAGUGGCAUUUUAUAUUAGAAGCUAGUUUAAUCCUCAAACUUCAAAUCUAAAAUUUUCCAAAAUGUGGGAAUGUGAUGGUUGGGAGCUAGUUUUUACAUUUAUGGGCAACCGGUAUGAUCUUACCUGAAUGAAACUCCAUGAUAUACCUUCAAUAAGAACGUAAAGCCUCCAUUAUCAAAUCAUGUGUUACAAUGAUACAGAAUGCAUUUGGCUAUAUAUAGACCUAUAUAGCUGUGUUUAAAUUAGAAGACAUCUCAGACAUCGUGGUGAAUCUAGCAUCUGCUUGAUCCAAGCAACUUUGUUUGUCAUAAGGCAAGAUUUAUAUCAUUCUAAUUCAGGUACCAACUCUAUCAUUUGAAGAGAUCAUGCUUCAGUAAGAGGAAGACUAUUGGUGUCUUACUGCAACACAGAGAAUUCUGGGCAAGCAAGCAAUUAAUUUUUUAAUGCAAUUUCUUAUUUCAUUGAAAUGAAAUAUACAAUCUGAUUUUCAAAUUAAGAGUAAACUAUUAAUUAUCACAGAAGUAUGAAUAUACAAAUAUAGCUCUUAGAUAUGCUGUGGUUUUCACAGAGAAUUAGUGAUUUUGGACUCACUUGGUACAGCAAACUCAGAUCAGACUAGACAAUAAAAAACAUGGCCUUCUGAAGUGGCCCAUCUCUCUCUUAUAGAUUAUUCAGCCUUCUAUCAAAGAUUGUUAUCAAUUCACACAGUCUUUCAAAGGCAGAAUGGGUGACUUUGACUUUGUCAAAGACUGGAUUGUAUUAACUGAAGCCCUCGCAAGUGCCUCUUCUGUAGCAAACUCUACAUUUUGGGGUCAGAGGUGAGCUCUUAUUUGAGUAGGAGGAAAAUUGUUAAUGAAAUUUUGCUCAGUGAGCUGUGUCAUCCUUUAUUCUUGCUGUGCUCCAGGCAGGUCCACACUGUCAAAUAUCAGAAGAGGCUGGAAAUGAGUGACACAUGUCUUCAAGACCAGAAAUGACAGUGACCUUCCAGCUCCUUUUGCGAAGUAGCAGGGGUGUUGUACACAGCUAUUAAGACCAGAAAUGAACUCUGACAUUUUAAGACUGUUCUGUUUGGAUUUUCACUGCUUCUUAUGGCAGGGGUUCAAACUCUAUUCUUAGUUUUCCCAGCACGAACUCACAGCAGUCCCUUCCAGGACACAAACCCAGAUUUACGUUGGUCUUGGUGAGGGCAGAAUUUGCCUGGUCAGUUUCAUCAUUUGGAUUGCUAUAUGUGCUGAAUACUCGAAUGGAAGCAAUGCUUUCAUAUCCUGAGUAGGGGAGAGGGAGUUGCCAUUCUGUCACCAUAUUAGAAACCAGAGACUCUCAGUUUAUAGUCCUGCUUUUUUUCUCCUCACUCACAAUUUUGUCUUUUUUUUUUUUUUUCUGUGACAGUUUAAUUUUUCAGUACUGCAUGCAAUUUUGCAUAUGAUUCAUAUGGAAAUGAAGACAUAUUUAAUGGAGACUCCAGACACUGCCAAUGAGUAAGGAUAGGAAGAAGUGUAUAUCCCUACUUAUUUACAUUGAAAGAGAGAUAGAAGUGGUUGGAUCUUCCCUAUCUUUAGGGAAUUGUUUAUGAAGCACCUGCGGAAGUUGACCCAACAGGGGUCAGACAGCUAUAACAGUCCAGGAGUAAUUUUUUUUAUAACAUAAAACAAGACUGAAAUGAAAUGUUUCUGAUUUACUAGCCUUGCAUGAGCUAUUGUUGGUUUGCAUAGCAGUCACAACCAACUUACAUUUUUCAGUUCCACUUAGAAAAGAGGUAGCCUUUUCUACAUGAACAUCACUGCAGUUACUAUUGUCCUGAUUACAUAAAAAAGAGACUACUGCAGAAAGAUGUGUAUGAAGCUGUAUCUACGGAGAUCCUAGAAUUUGAAAACUAGCGGAAUAUGUAGCAACCCAUCUGGGAAGAUAAAAAUGGAGCUAUGAGACAGUGAGGGUAUAAUGACAAUUUGUCUCCUUAUGGUUCCUCUGGCAGUAGCUCUGGUAUCAACUUACUAACCACUGAACAUUUCUGUACUCUCCUUUUCCCUCUGGAGGGAUCCCUUGGAGGACAAUGGAGAGGUGGGCAAUACUGGAAGCUCCAGACCUGGCACCAAUGCCUAUAUCUUGAACAAACUACUCUGGCACACCUUUUCCAGCAUGGCUGAAACCUAUUGAAGUAUUCAACACAACCCUUUAGGGAAGGAAAGCAACUCCUGUCCUAAGGUAUGAAAUGUUUGAGAAGAUCCUAGGCUGAGAAUCAUAGAAUCAGAAUUGUUCAGGGUGGAAAAGACCGUAAAGAUCAUCAAGUCCAACCACAACCUAAUCAUACUACCCUAACUCUAACAUCCCUCUGCUAAAUCAUGUCCCUGAGCACCACAACCAAAUGGUUUUUAAAUACAUCCAGGGAUGGUGACUCAACCACCUUCCUGGGGAGCCUAUUCCAGUGCUUAACAACCCUUUCUGUAAAGAGGUUUUUCCUGAUAUCCAAACUAAACUUCCCCUGGCACAACCUAAGGCCAUUCAUUUCCCCUCGUCCUGUCACCUGUCACCAGUGAGAAGAGACCAACUCCACUCUCACUGUAAGCACCUUUCAGAUAUUGGAGGAGAGCAAUAAGGUCUCCCCUCAGCCUCCUUUUCCCCAAACUAAACAGACCCAGUUCCUUCAGUCUCUUCUCGUAGGGCAUAUUCCCCAAGCCCUUCACAAGCCUUGUUGCCCUUCUUUGGACCUGCUCCAGCACCUCAGUGUCCUUUCUGUACUGAGGUGUCCAAAACUGAACACAGUACUCGAGGUGAGGCCUCACCAGUGCUGAGUACAGAGGCAGGAUUACUUCCUUAGUCCUGCACACUACAUCACUCCUGAUACAAGCCAGGAUGCCAUUGGCCUUCUUGGUCACCUGGGCACACUGCUGGCUCAUAUUCAGCUGACUGUCCAUCAAUACACCAAGGUCCCUUUCCAUCAGGCAGCUUUCCAGUCACUCCUCCCCAAGCCGGUAGGAUUGCCCGGGGUUGCUGCGACCAAAAUGCGGAACCAGACACUUGGCCUUAUUGAAACUCAUACAGUCUACCUUAGCCCAUCGAUCCAGUCUAUCCAGGUCCCUCUGUAGUGCUCUUUUCCCCUCAGGCAGAUCAACACUCCCUCCCAGCUUGGUGUCAUCUGCAAAUUUACGGAGGGUGCACUCAAUCUCCUCAUCAGGAUCAUUAAUAAAGACAUUAAAUAGAAGCAGCCCCAGUACCAAGACCUGGGGGAUGCUGCUUGUGACUGGCCGCCAACUGGAUUUAACUCCAUUGACCACAACUCUCUGGGCCUGGCCACCCAGCAUUUCACACAGCGGAGAAUACACCCAUCCAAACCAUGGGCAGCCAGCUUCUCCACAAGAAUGUUGUGGGGGACAGUGUCAAAGGCUUUACUGAAGUCCAUGUAGACCACAUUGACAGCCUUACCUUCAUCCACCAAGUGGGUCACCUUGUCAUAGAAUGAAAUCAGAUUUGUCAAACAGGAUCUACUGUUCAUAAACCCAUGCUGACUGGGCCUGAUCCCUUGAUUGACCUUUAAUUGGUCCAUGAUGGUUCCUGAGAUUAUUCCUUCCAUAAUCUUCUCCAGCACUGAGUUGAGACUAAUAAGUCUGUAGCUACCAGGAUCAUCAUUCUGGCCCUUUUUGAAGAUGGAUGUCACAUUAUGGAGAAGCCUCUAUAAAGACUGCAGCUGUUCAUGACUGUCCUCUGAUCAGAAAAAAAAAAAAAAAAAAGAGCAGGAGGCAACUGCCUUAGGAAAGAAUGGUGGAGGAACAUUUCCUCAACUUAAAAGAUGGUACUCUGCUAGAAAGUACCAAUCAAUGUGCGACUGUACCCUGUGUUUAUCUCUUGGGUAGCUUGGUUCUGCAGUAAAUGUAUGUAAAGUGCCCCAAACUGUGGAACCCUCACAUAGACAAAGUGUAGAAGGAACUUAAUACCAAUAUUAAUAAAGCCUCAGUGAACACAGCAGCCCGUGACUUACUGCAGAGUGCAGAAUUCUGCUACACAGCAAAAUUUCUCUGCUGAGGAAAAAAAACCAGAAAGCUCCAGUACUUCUACCGUCAGAGACUGAUCUUUGGCAUAGUAUUUUCUAAAGAAAUGCUUGAGGUUGGAACUUUCUUUUCCCUGUUAUUUGCCAGAAACCAGACGUGUCAGUUUUCCAGUGUUUUAAAUCAGGGAUGUAUGAAAUUAAAUGGGACUCUGGUGACCUAGGGGACCACAAGGCAAUGCAGAGCAGUUUGGCAUCUGGAAGGGCAUUAUUUUGAGAUCAGUAAAGUAGUGUGUGGGAUGUCCACUUGAUCUUCUGGUUGAACUUGGGUUACAGUGCACUUUAGUUGUUUUAGAAACACAAGAUGCAGAAUGGCAUUUGUUUUUUUGAAGUUUGCUGUUAGAAAAAUAAAACUCUAAUGAGUAAAAUACAGCAGUGUUUUCUCAUUUCUAUUUGACCUAUUAAGUGCCAGAUCUACCAUAUAAUACAUUAUUUGAUAUAAACAGUUAUUCAGUUACCUACCCAAGUAACGUAUAUGUAUAGACAGUGCCUGAGAAGUUGAUGUCUGUCUUUUUAAACAGGUUUAAAUGGCCCUGGAGCAUUCUCCAUCUUCUUCUGGAAAGCAAACCUUUUCCUGGUUUUAUGUCUCACAGCCACAAGAUGAGGUCCAAAAGGAAAAAUGAUAGGAGUACGAUGCUUGAGAUUCACAUUGAGAAUCAGCACUGAUUGCUACAACUAUGUACUAAACAAAGUUUAUGUUGUUUUUUUUUUUUUUGUCUGUUUGCAUCAAUUAACAUUUGUAUAUGUGAUAAUACAAGUGAUCCCAAUAUGUAACUAAACUUUCAUUGUGAGAUCUGGGAUAUUUUUCAGUUUUUAGUAAGAAUAUAUUUACUUUGUGGCAUUUAUUGUUUAGAGACACUGAUCUACUGAUAUUUCAAAAGUAAUAAAUAAAUAAAUAAAUAUUUACAUUAGGAUGAUAACUAAAAUAAAGAUUUAAUGCAGAAAAUUGAUCAAUAAAUAAAUAAAUAAAUAAAUAAAUAAAUAGAUAAAUUCAGCAGCAAAAUUACUUAAAACAUCCUGAAAAUAGAAAAUGAAGAGUUCUACUUCCAAAAUAUCUCUUGGAAAAUACUUUUUCUUUAAUAAUCUGAUAGUGAACUGCAAAUUCUGAAUUUAAAAUUUAAUUUUCAUUCAAGUAGCAUAUUUUUAUAUGAAGAACUUAUGUUCUGUUGAUUUCUUCUUUUGUAUUUGGCAAUAUUGAAAACAGAUGCUCUGUUAAGCAUAACCAAGGGAAAGUUGUAACAUAAAUAAUAUACUAACCUAAUUAAAGUGUAUCUUUUAAAAUCUUGAUAAACUUAGUGGAGUCUGACUGUGAAAAAGAUCCAAAAUCCUUCAUGGAAAGGAAGGUUGACAAGAUUCACCAAAUGAUCAUUUUCUAAUGUAUCAAACAUAUCUGAUUGGGGUGCACUAAAUAGCUGGAACCAAAUUAAGCAUGUGUUAAAUUUAAUUUCAGUGAAAGGGGCUGAAACUAACUUUUUUUUUUUUUUUUUUUAAACAGGCUUCAUCAUUCUUUCAUACACUGAAUACUUGCUGCAGUAUUUAUAAUUUGGUGUGUUCCUUAACCAUGAUUUGGUAUUUCAGAGAGUUCGCUUGCUCUGGUAGAACUUGAAAACAAAAGAGAAAGAACUCAGUUCUUACAUAUUUUCACUGGUAUACCAUUUUUUGCUGUGUACCACAUAUUUUCACUUCUCAAAGCCACCAUGCAAGAUGAUAGCUGCUGUCCUUGAAGAAAUCAGUGUUUGUUGCUUUAAUUUUGCUGUUAAACUGGCACUUUGUCAUUUCAGCUCAUCAUGUUAUGCAUGUAAUAAUGUGACAUGCUUAACUGCUAGCUUCAAGCUGAACACUUAAUAUUAGAUACACCUACAGUACUUUUAUUUCAGAAAGCUGCAUUUAGUCCUCAGAGCAUCUUUCUUCUCUGGAAAGACAAAGGCCAGGACCUGCAUUUUUUGACAUGGACAGUUUUGUUUUUACAUGUUCUGAGUAUAUAAAAACAUGAAUGACAGGAGGCAAUCCCACUCUAAGUGUCCUAUCAAAAGUAAAAGGUCACUGUGGAUUUUCAUAUGUAUGUGAGUAUGUGUGUUAGUGUGUGCUUUCAUUUGUGUUUCUAUGCUAAAUGUUGUCAAGUAUGUUACAGAGGUCAUUUGUGAUUCAUAGAAGCACUGCUCAGGGAUUUACAGAGUCCUCAAAUUCCAGUCUGUGGAUAUGCCAAGGAAUCUACCAGUUUUUUGAAUGCCUUACUCAAUAAUCUGUUUUUAAUACUUUCUUUCCUUGCAAUACGUUUUCACUAAAUUUCAAACAUGUUCAGUAAUUUGCUGAUCAGGAGAUAUUUUAAUCACUCUGAAAAAUAAUGUGUCCAUUAAAUUAAUUUUUGUUACAAGGUAAUAAUGGAAAAACAAAUGUUCUCCCCCAGAGCUGGUUGUGGUGAAGGCACACCUACUUACAGAAUUCUCAGCUCACUGCAGCAGCAGCUGCAGUGAAUCAUUGAGAAAUCAUUGCAGAAGUUCCAGCACCAGAACAUAGCAAAGGGCAUCUAUAGGCACAGGUGUGCACAGCUUCACAUUGACUGAAAAUUUAGGGCUCUCUAUAUCAAAAGCUGAAUCUGUCUAGGUUUGUGUUUGCAACUUGGAUAAGUAUCUGCAGCUGGCUAUAUUGGAAGAACAUAAUGGAAAAAAAAAAAAAGAAUUAAGGCAUCAGAACAUUAUAAAAACUCUGUAAUAGGAAACCAGAGUUGUUGUACAAGUGUAUAGUUGUGUUCUUACAGUCACCACUGUUGUCUCUUUGAUCCUGCAACAACAAUCACAGUCCAUGAAAGACAUCCAUACUCUGUUUGCACACAUAUUACCAGGCAUGUACAGUUUCAUGAACUGAGUGUGAUAUCUUCUUCAUUCUUCUUCACCCAGCUAUGUCUCUACAUCUUGUACCUGCAGCAGUCUCACCUCAUGUCCUCUUUUCUGUGAGCAUUUUACAGAUGAAGUUCACCAUGUCUGCUCCCUCAUCAAACAAACCUCCGUUAUCUACAAUGUCUUUUUUCAUUCAGAACAUUACUAAUUGAGAGAUCUGAUAACAAGAUUCUAGCUGUUAAGGAUCUCCCAAGCUAAUAAAGGGUGACAAUGAAAGAGAAAAAACACAGAUUUGCACAUUGACUCUGGCCCACAACCCAGCUGAACCUGUCUUUCUUUUGAUGGUUAGAAGAAACAAGAAUGGCUUAGGAGUUUAUGGCUCUUUUAGCCCUCCCUGAUGAUCUUUUGAGGGAAAGGAUAAGGAGUAAUUACAGAGAGGUUACUUUAGAAUCAUGAAGGGAGUCUCUCUGUACUUGUAAACUGUUUGAAUUGCAUUUCUGUCAGUCAUUUACAAUUGACCAUAUCUAGCUGAGGUUCCAAGCACAGAUUUAUAUACUUACCUGGGCAAAUGUAUUUCAGUCACUUUAAAAGUAGUUGUGGAUUAUAAUCCCCUUAUGCCCAUUUCUUAAAUCAAAUGUAAUGCUUUCGAAAUAGAUUCAACACUUUUGAGUUAUUCCCACCCCCCACAAUCAUGUUUGAUUUUGUUAAUCAAGGUUGAACAGUAGGCUAAUACUGGAAGCUCUUUUAAGUAAAAUAGUUUCUGUAUUAAUGAGAUCCAGUCCAGUUCAAAUUAAAAAAAGAAUUUUUUUUUUUUUUUUUUGAGGGAAAUGUCCUUUCUCCUGUUAAUAAAAUGAAUGGGAGCAGUGAGAUUUUUUAAGAGGGUUUUUUUUUUUUUUUUUUUUUUUCCCCCAGCCUAAUUGACUUGGAUUUUGCUCAUGUAUGGUAGGUUAUGUUUUCUCAUUGUAGAAGCUUUUUCCUGCUAAAAUCAUUCCUUUCACUAAUGAGAUCCAUCCUGAUAUGACAGGAAGACAGCUCUUAAAACACCCACCGUUUUCUCCCAUUCAUUUGAAUAGCAGCAAAGGGACAUCUUUUAAAGUAAUUUUUAUCAGUGAGAUUGAGCUGAAUCUCAUUAAUAAAGAAAUGAUUUUACUCAAAAGAGCCUUCACAGUUGAGCUAUAACUCAGAUUAGUGAGAUCUAGCCUGAUUAUAACUUUAUAAGACAUUGUACUUCUGCCAUUCAAAGCAUGCAUCAGCUAUGUAGGGACCAUUGAUUCCUGCAAAGGCUGUUUCAGAAGGGUGGGUGAGAAAGGUGUCUGGAGGUGUCUUUCUCAUUUUUUCAUGAACAUGGAAAGUGAAUUCUUCCUUCUGUAUAUUAAGACUGGUUUUCACUAUAUGUAUUUUUAUUUUGAAGAGCAUAAGGGUGACUGAAAUGAAGAUGUAAGGUGAAGAAAGAGCUCAAUACCAUGCCAGUGGAGGAUUGUCCAGGUACCAGGACACCACUAUUUCAUGGUAAAUUCUUUAUGCUGACAUUUAAUUCACAAUAAAUUUGGUUAAUGCACAGAACACUGAAUAUGCAUGAGAACAGCAAGCCUAAGAAGUUAAACAAUCACAACAGAACUUCACAGCAUAGCAAAGUGUUGCAUACAACACCAAAAAGGCAUAUAAAAAAGAAAUGAUGUUAUAUAAGCAGCUUUUCCACUCUAUGAAUCCCUGAAUGAGGCUUCUUAUUAGUUGUUUUCCUAGAAGCAGCUAUGUCCAACCUGAACCACGAGCAGCUACAUCAAGUUGGACUAAGUUAAGAAUACCCUACUAAAUACUACCCAUACUAAAACAUAGAACAUCUUUAUGGAGGGAACCAAGAUUGUCUUGAAUGAUAUUUUGAGAAUAUCAAAUUAAUAGGCACACCACCUUGAGAAACAGCUGCUAGUUGAAACCUCAUGUCAAUAAGGAUGUCUGAAAGACCAACUGGCCACACCUGGGAAGGUGUAACCAGAGGUUAUAACAUGGGCAGAUCACAAAAGGGAAAAAAUGCAUUGGUCAGAGUGAGUUUGAGGUAUUAGGUGGUGAUAGAGUUUACAGUAGUAAGAGAUAUGGGGAAAGUGAAGGAAGAUUUUCUAAUUCAGAAGGAUUGCAUGUGAAUGAUGACAGGCAAUGGAAGCUCUAGUGCUGGGCAGCAAAUCAGCUCUAGGGUUGAGGUUAGUCACUGAAAGGCUUGCUACUUGCAUAGCAGUACUUCUACAGACAUGUUUUUGCUCCAGAAACUGUUGUAUUGCAUACCCUAUGGAAAAAGUGUAGUCUUUGCAGGGGUUUUCAUAAUAUUCUAUUCCCUACAGGAGAGCAAAAUUCUAUUUGUUUUGCUAUAUUUAGCAUGGUGAGUGUCAUCCCCCCCAACUUUCAGUCUCCCAACCUUCACUAUGACUGAAAGAUUAAACUUGAGAGUCUUUUAUGAGCUCAUAAACAAAUUAAAAAUGACAAUGAGGUCUAGAUUGCUCAGGUUAUUUGUGUUAUGAGCUGUCAUUUCUUAGGUGAAGAUCUCUGUUUUGUGUAGAGUUAGUACCCCAGAGAAAUAAGCCAGACCUUCCUACACUCAGCUGCACAUACCUUUGUUUUCUGCAGAAGGAACCAAGAGUAGCUGAGAAGGGCUCUGAUAGUUCAGAGACAGAGAGUGUUUGACAUAAUUUUGCAUAGAACCUUCUUGCUUUACCACCUCCUCCCUUAAGUGCACACUACAUUCAUUCACACAUUAAAAAUUGAAGUGUAAUAUUCUGCUGCCUGGUCUUCUUAGACAUUGUCUUUGUUCAGUUCUUAGUCACUGCUGGAAUGUGCCAAGCAAUGAAAUGUCAGUCUUUGAAAUAUAGUUCUUAGGAGAAUUAUUUCUCUUAAGCAAGUUUAACUUUAGCUUAUAAUAAUAUUUAAUUAUGUCCUAUUUAGUAUUGUUCCCAUUUUGCUUCUAUCAGCAUUCAUUAUGAAUGCCACGUUGCAUCUCAACCCCUCUGCCUCUGAAAUUAAUGUCAAUGCCAAUAUGUGGGUAUUACUAAAUACAGAGAAUGCAUAAGAAUCAAUUCAGCCAGCACUCCUCCACUUUCUCCGAAUUCAUUGUGUCACCUCCGCCUCCAGUGGCCUGUCUUGAAGAGCCCCUAGGUAAUUCUUGAAUGCAUGGCACUGCUGCCCCCAGGCUCCCUGCAAUGCAGUUGUGCAAAGUACCCAUUCUUCUGUGUGUGUGUGUGAGAAUAUUUGUAAGCCAAGCAAGAGGAAAACGCCUGAUAUUUUCAUGAGCAUAUGAACAUUUGAUCCAGAGGGAAGGUUCGCAUUUUCCACCUCUGCUUUUUAAAGUGGAAAUUUUCACCUCUGGGCUAAAUAGUUAUUCUGUUGUGAGCCUGCUUCAGGCAGUAAUUAGGGGUGGAGGAGCCUUAAAGGCCAGGUUUGGCUGACUAUUGUAAAGGACUGGACAUUAAGCUGAAAUCUGAAUUGUUUUCUGCGUAGAAUCUUAACACAGAACAGCAUUGUGACCCUUUGUGCUGCCCAAGCCCAUAAAUCCCACAAGGUAUUUUCAUUCUCACCUAUGUACUUCUCAGCCUGCUAAUGUCGCAGUGGGUGAAAAAGAUCUAUCAUAUUGACAGAAAAUAAAUGUAGGAAAUGUUAAAAAGGGGUUUAAUGCCUUCUCAGCUAUAUUCUCACAGUUUUAUAUAUUUUUUUAAAUGUAAAUAAUUCCAGAUAUACAUGGGGAUGCUGAAAAGAUAGUAAGAUUAGGCUAGCUGACAACAGUCUCAAAGAGGAAGAUUUUGCAAAGAUUUCUUUCCUACCUAAAAAUCCAGCAUCUUUGUCCCUACUUCUGAGGUCUGUGUGCAGUGACUGGUGUCUGACAGCCAGUGCCAGUUGUCUCUGAUGAGUUCACAGGUCCAUCAUUUCAAGGAAGGGUAAAAGGUAGAAGAGAAAAGGCAUUAUACACUUUCCAAUGCUUUAGGUAUCUCUUAAGAAAAAUGAAAAUAUUCCUACAGAACUGUUGUGUCAUUUUCUAAGUUGUUGGACCCCAUUCCUGAGUGAGGGCUUUCUGCAUACAUUUGUGAACUGAGACUUUCUUCAUAAAGAAAGAUGAAGAUACACUAAUUAGUUGUUAGCUCAGUCUGUUUUUUACCAGUUUCUCUCAGUCCAUGAAUAAGAAGUGAAUGAGCAGAUUAAUUCCUUUUGCUUUCCCAUUUGGAAAGUCAAUUUUGUUUGUAGUUUGUUAACAAAUGGAAUUUUAAUUUAUUUGACAGAAAUCAAAUAUCCUGGUCUUUAUCAUCUUGAUUUAAAAAAAAAUUAUUAAGAAUUGCAGUGUUUGUGACAAUAAACCUUCAUUUAAGUCCUAAUGGAAAUUUUUAUAUAUAUGUAUAUACAUAUAUAGAAAGAUAGAUAGAUAGAUAGAUAUACUUAACUAAUGGUUCUAAUUGAUUUAAGUGGUAGCCAUUUUUAAGUGGCCUGCUAUUGGAAUGGAUGUUAGAUAAUAAAAAGUUGGACACUAAAUCUUUAGGAGACUUUCAUGUACAAAUCUACACUUCAACUGUGAAAUUGUUCUAAUUCUUGAGUUAUCAUAUCAGAAGUUUUAAAUCUGCAAAAGAUAAAGAAUAAAGAAUAUGUCCCAAGUUGCAUGUUCUCUUCACCUUCUCCUGUAUUCCACCCCCUCCACAAGAAUCAAAGGCCUCUCUCCAGUACCUUGUUUACAAAUGCAGAUGCCAUGGCAACUUGCAGUAUAUUUGUUCUAACAUUUGAACGUAUGUUGAACUUUUAAAUAUAGCUCACAAGACAUUUAGCCAAAUUAAUUGCUCUACAAAGUAGUUUUGGAAUUAUAAAGAAGAGAACAGAUCGAACUUCUGAUUAGAGGAUGUUUAUGGGCAAGCUGCUAUAUGGAACAAUUCUGACACAGAAGCUCCAAGACAGUUGCCGCAUAGUAUGAGUAUAGUUCUAUGAACCAUAGAAACAAUACCAAUUAUAGUCAUCACAUUGUUGAAAUGUGUACUCAAACUUUUAUGCACAUGAGAUAGUCGAACCUAUAAUAUUUUCUAACUACAUACCCAAUUAUUAUUCAACAUAAAACUACUAUUCCUAUUCACAUUAUUCUGAAUAUAAUUCAUAUUUGUUGCAUUUGUUUAUAUGAAAACUGGCUUUAAGGAACAAGAACACUGUGCAAGCCAAAUCUGUUGCAAAUAAUUCCACUGGAUUUCAGUAAGCUCCUCUGACUGGUGUUAUUUGAAGUUCUAGGCUGAAGUGUUUUGCAGGCAUUUAUUAACUUUACUAAGACUUGUGAAAACGUGAGACUGUUCUGCAAUGUUCAUUGCAGUGAUGUUAGAGCAAAAAAGAAGUAGGGCUAUUAGAUGUAAUGUAAAGGAAUUUUUUUACAGGUCGCAGUGAAUACACAUGAUUCUCAUGUGCUUACACACAAGCUAUCAACACGAGGACUAGACAUCCUACAGUUUCCCUAAAAUUGUGUCUUGAGCAACUCAGCAUGGAAAGCAGGUGAAGUGACUGCACUACAGUGUAUUUUUAUUUGAUAGCUAUUUUUUUUUCUCUUGUGUGUAGCUUAUUCAGAAACAUGUUUCUGAAGAAAAUCUGUUUUAUCUGGAAUUUGUCUGAAUGAUACAAUUGUGAUGUUACCAGCAGCGAUGUCCAUGAUACCAACCCUAACCACUUAGCAAUCAUCAAGUAAGUGUAAUUGCACUAGUUGAUUUAUUUCAUCUACAGAUUAUGUAAUUGCUUAUUAAAAAAAUUGCUAGGAGCAAUCGUCUCCAUCCAUGCUAGUAACCAUGUAUUAUAAUCAUGCCAGUAGGUGAAAAUACAUAGAAUUUCCUUCCUCUUUAAGCUAGAAGACUCUCCACCUAUGUAAAACUUUCUUACUUAGGGGGGAAAACAAAUGACUUCUGAGCUACUUACAGUAAAAUCAACAUACUUGCAAUUCAUUUUCCACUGUACAUUGUGCCUAUGGAUAAAAACAUUCAAAACCAGCUGAAUUUCUCUAAGUGCCCAAUAAGCAUUUAAGUAUUAGACCUAAGGUUAUUUGUUAUUUUAUACUGUAUAAAGGUGGGAUAAAAAAUAAAAACUAGAAUGAAAUACCUAGAGACAUCAGGACCACUAGCUGUGCUGGAUAUAAUUUCCAUUUUCCUUUUCUAACCAUGAAUUCACAUGACUGAAAUGUUUCUUGUAUGUGAUAUAAUAAAGACUACAGUGAAACCUUGUUUCCUCUUAGACGGUAAUGUGUGAUAUCAUGGCAAUGACAAGCAUGAAUGAGAUGCCAACAUUUGGCACUCUUUGGUGAGUAGUGAAAACAUUAUCAGUGAGAGGUGUCCAGCAGCGUUAAAGAGUAGCCGAAUCAGGACAAGUUCAUGUAUGAGUCAACAUCAACUUGAUAGAAUUUCUGCUUUUGGCAGUUAAUGUUGACAAUUAGUACAGUGCCCUUAUUAUAUAUGCGAGGGACUUGAGUUCCUUGAGUGGACAAAGAGUACAAAAACCAAGGAAACAGCUGUUGGGCACAUAAAUGUCUUGUUGGAAGACAUGAAUAUAUUUGGAAAGAUAGGUUUGUGUUGCUGGCCUUAAUCCCUUCCCUUAAGUAUCUUCUUUCUGAUGGUCAGACAUAAUAGUGCAACUGAAUAAAGGGAAGCAUUUUUGACUGGAUAGUGUACAUCAGGUCCCAUAUACAUACUGACUGAAUUCACGUUACUUGUCACUUGAUACAGUUAUGAGAUCUGAAUGAUUUUCAGUCACUUCAGUGAAGGCUGUAUUUGAAACCUGGUCCCAAAGCCGCAAGGCAAGUGUAUUACAUACCUGUCAACUAACAAGACUUGCCAAAAUGAAUCUACUCAUAUGAACACAUGAUCAUUAUUGCUGUUCACACUGUGAAACACUACACACUGUGACAAAAGUAGAAAGCAAGAGGAUUAUUAUGCUAGACAGUCACUUAUUAAAUAUAUUUAUUGUGGAUAAAUGAAUAUUCCUUUACAACAAAAAAUGUAAGCUGUUGAUAAAUUUCUAGUAUUGAAAAAUGUGAUAUGGGCAAUUUAGUAAAACUUGACCUUAUUCUUUUGUAAAGAAUAAGCAAAUAUUUACAUUCCCUUGACUGAACAAAGAUUUUUUGUGCUGAAGACUACUAAAUAUUCCACACAACAAGCACAAGUAGGAGCAAAUGAAUUCAGCAAGCACUGGGACUACUCAGGCCAAAUUUCUUUACCUUUUCAUUGAAUAUUUAAUCAUUAAUUACAUCUGAGUUAUAAACUACUUACUAGUUAAAAAAAAUUGUCACAUCAGGGUAAUGUUUGUACACUGCAUGAAUGUUAUAUGUUUGCAUGAAAAGGAUGGAUUAGUGAAAUGGUGAACAAGACAUUCACUGAAAAAGAGCUCCUUGGGAUGGAAUUCUGAAAUGUACUUUCCUAUAUUCAGUUUACACAGAAGAGAGGAAAAUCUAAAGGUAUACAACAAAAAGAUUUAGAAGUUUGUUCUACUGUCAAGUCUAGAAAAUUGACACUCUUCCAGAUGUCUUCAAAAACAUGUGGACUAAGAGUUGUAUAGUAAGACUAAGGAGUUGUCAAAGAUUCCAGCUAGCCACAUGAGAAUUAAUGUAACAGAAACUGACCAGGUCCUUGAACAAUGUUAGUUAAUCAUAUUUCCAAUAAAUAAAUAAAUAAAUAAAAAUUAUGAGCAGAAAAAUGCAAAAUGCUUUAGAAUGCCUCAAAAAGAAUAUGAAAUGUAUUUGAAGAUCUAUACCGCAAAUUAACACUAUAGUUGAUAAAAUGCUAGUUUAUCUGCAAAGUGCUAAUCUACUUCAUACUAUUUCUUCUUACAGAUUUCAUUAAUUUGAAGAUAUAUUUGCUCCCUCAAAGAUGAAAAUGUUAAUAGAAAUGAGAGUUAAAGCUCACUGAGUUCAUUAGGCUCCCCAAUUCUCCUUUGUUUCUGAGUAACAUCUCUUAGAAGCAUUUCUUUUUCUACAAGAAGAAAGUAGAAAUAAAUCUAUUCAUUGCUAUUGAAAAACUGACUACAAAUAGCUGUGAGUAGUUUUGUUUGAGUUGUAUCUGGUAUGAAUGACAACUUCAAAAAGUAAUGUGUAAUGUUGAGCAUCCUCAUGGUUUCUAUGUUAAAGUUUCUAGUGAAUAGUUUAGAAGAUAGAAAUUGUACAGCUUAUAAACUUACUAAGGUUUUGUGCAAAAAAUUGGAGUGGUGUUUGAAUAAUUAGUUAAGGAUGUAAUGCAAGAUAAAUAAUAAACAAAAAUUUUGAUAAAAUCAAGUUUUUUUAUUCACUUUCACAGAACAAGAGAAAAUAUCACCUUUUUUUUUUUUUUUUUUUUCUAAUUUGAGUCUCCUAUCUUAAAGGAAAGUUAUUAUUUUCAUGAUCAUGGCUCAGCCACAGCUAUCUUAAACACUAAUGCUUUUCUCCAGUGUUUCAUGGAUUAUGAGUCCUUGGUACAAAAACUAGACUGAACUGGCUACUAAUUAUCUCCUCCUUGUUCUGCUGGGUCUUUCUGUAGCUCUUGUCACUACGAGACCCAGAUGACUUCUGAAAAUUUUCGUUGACUACAGAACUUCCUCUAAUUAAAAAAUAAAUAAAUAGAAAAAAACAAAGCAGAUUAAUUUCCAAGUAAUCCUUCUCUGUGAAAUCUUUUCAGUUCCAUCAGUUCUUUUGUCUAGCUUACAUGUUAAGUUAAGCAUAGGUAUUGAUAGUCACAUCAAACGGCGCUGUCAAGGUUAAAUAAGUAAUGGUCCUUCAUUUUAUUUUGUACAAGACCUGGAUUUUAUUCUCACACCUUUCCAUACAGUCAAAUUAUAUGGGUAUUUUGAUAGACAUGAUUAUUGAAGGAGAUCAUUAAAGAAGUUUUGAUCGAAGGCACUCUGGAUUGUAGCGACCAUACCCUAAAUGAGUUCACAAUCUUAGGGAAUAUGGCCCUGGCAAAAAGCAGAGUCAGAAUGUAGAACUUCAGGAGAGUGAACUCCUGGCUUUUUAAGGAAUUAUUAAAUUGGAUCCCCUGGAAGACUGUCCUUAAAGACAUAGUAAUGGAAUAGAGGUGGCAUCUCUUUGAAGACAUCUUUCUGAGAGGACAAAAGCUCUGCACUCCCGAGCGUAAGAAAUCAAGCAGAGAAGGCUGGAAACUGGUAUAACUAAGCAAGAAUCUGCUGGACAAACUCAAGGAAAUAAAGGAAAAGAACAGGCAGUGGAAGCAGGGACACACGGCCUAGGAAGAAAACAGGGAUGACAUCUGAACAUGCAGAGUUUCAACCAUCAGGAAAGCCAAAGUGAGUUCUUUGCCUCAGUCUUCCCAGUCAGUCAGGCUUCCCAUGCCUCUUACAUUCCUGAAUCUCUAGGCAGGGGUUGGGGUAGCAAUAUCCAAGCAAUAGGAAGUCAAAGAUUACCUCAUAAGACUGAAUGUGUGUAAGUCUAUGGGACUGAAUGGCAUGUACCCCAGGGACCUGAUGGAACUGGAUGAUAUGGUUGCCAAGGCACUCUCCAUCAUAUUUGAAAAGUCAUGGCUGUAAGGCAAAGUACUUAGUGACUGAAAAAAAAAAAGGAAGCAUCACUCCCAUUUUCACAAAAGGGAGAAAGGAAGACCUGGGGAACUACAAGCUAGUGAGCCUAAUCUCUGUUCCAGGGAAGAUCAUGAGGAGAAGAUUUUAGAAGCUAUGUCACAGGCACAUGUGAGUUGAGGAGGUGAUCUGAGACAGCCAGCACAGCUUCACCAUGGGCAGAUGGUGCCAGACAAAUCUGGUGGCCUUACAUGAUGGAGUGACAGCAUUGGUGAGAAAAAGAAGUGCAACUGAUGUCUGCUACAUGGACUUGUGUAAAGCCUUUGGUAUGGUUCCACAUCACAUUCUUAUCUCAUAAUUAUAUAGAUUUGACGGGUGUACUCUGGUGAAUUAAGAAUUCUUUGGAUGGUCACAUGCAGAGGGUUGUUGUUAAUGUUGCUGUGUUCAGGUGGCAGGUCAUGGGUGGAGCUGCUCAGUGGUCUAUCUUGUGUGACAGAACAAGGGGAAAUGGCUUCAGAUUUAAAGAGGGGAGAUUUAGGUUAGAUGUUAAGCAGAAAUUCUUUACUCAGAGGGUGGUGAGGCACUAGACACAACCAAAGAGGUUGUGGAUGCUCCAUCCCUGGAGACAUUCAAGGCCAGAUUGGAUGGGAUCCUGAGCAGCUGAUCUGGUGGGUGGCAGCCCUGAUCAUGGCAGGGGUUGCAACUACAUGAUGUUUAACAUCCCUUCCAAUCUUAGCCAUUAUGUGAUUAAUUCUAUAAUUAUUAUUCCACUAGAGAACAUGGAAUGGGAGACAAUAAGUAACUGGAUUAGUAAGGUGAUUUGCUAUAAAAUGCACACUUACUGAUCUGCAGUCUUACAUCCUCACAUCCAUUUGUUUUAAGUCCUGUAGUGACAGUAAUGAAAUAUAAACUGGGACCUCCUCACAUCAUUCUACAGCUAGAAGAAUAUAAAGCAGACAAUAACACAAAAGUCAAGCCCAUACAUGCAAAAUAUGCCUGCAAAUUUAGGACCUUCCAGUUCAGCAUAUAUAAAUUAGUCAUCUUCUGUUUUAGAUACAGAAAGGCUUUUCCCUCACAAGGCUAUAUCAUACUGUUAUGCUUGGCACAAAACACUGCCAGGAUAACUUUGGGAAGAUAUUUGAUUUUAAAAGUUUUUGUUACGAAUCAGACAAGUAAGCAAGAAAUCACAAAAUCACAUAUCACUCCUGAUUCUAAAUAAUUCAGUGUUUGGUACAAGGUAUUCUAAUAUCUUUAAAGAGUCGACUAAGUAUCAUUAUACUGUUGUGCAUUGCCUUGAAAAACAGAGCAGCAACUCAAAAUUGCAAAAAAAUAUAUGAGCAAAGUACAGAUGAAAAUGAGUCUCCCCAAAUUUUAAGAUAUUGAUUUAUUAUAUCAAAGUAGAUGAUUAAUUACUGCUGUCACAAGAGCUUUGUGCACAGAUACAAACUUAUGUAUGUAUGGAAAAAUCCCAUUUUAUCUUCCAGAGGAGAAAUAUCAGUUUUGUGACUGAGGAUAGCAGGAUUGGAUAAGAAUCAGUUUACAAUUAACUACUAUUUACCAUUUAUAUACUUUUUUCCUUCAUAUCUUUAUAAAUAUUUCAGAGACUUAUUUUUGUCCCUUCGCAUUUUCACCUUUGAAGAACUAUAUUUAGGUUCAGUGAAUGUCUGUAGUAAAAUCAGAUUUAGACCUAGUAUAAAUAAACAUCUGAAAUCUUCAAAACCUUCUACAUAUUGUGCUACACAUGUCUGUGAAGGGGGAGAGAGAAAUUAUGCAACUAAUAAAUGAUUUAAGAAUGUGAAAUGAUUUUGAAUUGGUCUGGUCAACAAGGAAAGCAGGCAUUUUUCUAAGGUAUCUAUCAUAUAAGUAUUGUAGAUUUUUUCCCACUUCUAUUGGCAGCUUCUCUUAGCCUGCUAUCAAUAUAUUCCUUUUGUUUGUGACACAAAAGGCUUCCCACUAUAAUUUAGCAGGUUUUAUUUUCAAAGAAAAAUCUUGCAUUCUUUCUCUCUCCGUGUAUGCAUAACCUUUAUGAGGAAAGCUUUUACUUAGUGGGUGUUUUUUUGUUGUUUUGUUGUUGCUGGUUUUUUUUUUUUUUUUAAUUUCACAUUUACUAAUAAUAUGCUUUUCAGAAAAAGUAGGUGCUUUUACAGCAUCAUACAAGUGCUAUGUUUUGAAGGAGCAAUAUAGCAGUAUGUAUCUUUUUGCCCUUUGAUGUAAAUUCGUGAGGAAGAUAGAUUAUAGCAUCAAGAUGUUUCUCUGUGAGUAAUAAACUACCGAGCACAAAGUUCAUGGCUGAGAAUUGUGUGGGAUACAAGUGACUACCUUCACUACAAUCAAUUAUUAGGAUGAUUAUAUUGUGUCUGGAGAAUAUGAUGCUAAUGACUAGCUAACGUUUAGAAUACACACUCUUGACUUGAAAACCAAUGACAGUUAAAUGCAGCAAAGGGAAAGGCCUAUAUGUUGAGCUAGCAGCUCUCUAGUGUUGAUAAUGAAUAAUUAAAAAUAACAGUCUUUAUGUGUGGCUUGACAGUAUACAUGUCCUUUUAGUAUAUUCCGCUUUGUAAAGAACUUGGCACAAUGACAGCCAAAGAAAGGCAUCUUACCGCAUCCUGUACAGAAACUGUAUAGGAAAGCAGGGAGUUAAACACCCUCACUGCUGGGAGGGCCUAAGCAGGAUUAGCUAUGUAUUUACUGCUAACCUUCUACUACUCUGUCUUCUAAACAAAUAAAUAAUUGAAACCCAUUAUGUCUUUUAGGGGAGUUGCUCACAUGCUUUCUAUAUUCACAUCAAAGCAGAGAUCAGUGUCAAAGAGGCAGCCACAUUUAGCUGAGUCUCUCGGAGACUACUGAUUAAUUAGUUUUGCAUUUUGGAAGUGCAUCCAAAGAUGUAAAAUAGCGUUUGUUUUUACUAUUGCCAAAACUUGUUUAGGAGCUCUCUGGAGGGUGACGGUGAUGUACUCAAGAUGGUUGUGAAAGAAAAGGGCAUACAGUUCAGGUGCCAGAAAUCUCCAACCCCUUCCCUCCCCCCCCCCCCCCCCAUUUCCCCCUUAAGUUUCUGCAUGAGUGUCCAGAGGGAGUGCCUAAAUGAAAGGCGUGCUGGUAUCGAUGGAAGGCAAGAAUUGGGUGAUAAUAGAGAUAUCAACAUUUCCCUUAAUCAAGACAGUAUAAAAUGAAAGUUAUAAAAGGACGGAUAAUUCAGUUCUUAAAAACCAAAUUAAAAUAUUGUCUUAGAUAAGGGACAUGUAAGAUCUGUAAAUCCUGUUUAAAGUGUUGUCGUUUUAAAGUUUUCAUGUCUUGGUUAUUGCAUAACUUUUUUCUUUAUAUACUGAAAUGUGGUAAUAUGAGGUAUGGGGGGUACUCAGUUAUGGCAAAUAUUGCCUACAAAAGUGUGUUCAUGUUAUUUGCCUUUCUGUCUCUGUCUAUAUCAACUCCACAUGCUGCUCUGGUGGCCUGCUUUGUACUUAAUAUAACUUGUCAAAACACAUCUAUCAGAUAUAUGAAAAGGCAAACCUGGGUGGCCAGACUAGUCCAAGCCUGGCGUGGAUUGCAUUUUACCAAGACCACAGAAAUCUCUUUCCUCAAUGCGAUUAAGAUGAAAAGCAGAGUUCAUUGUUGUGCAACCAGAUUUUAAAAUAAUUACAUACAUGCUAGUGCAUUAGUAGGCCAUUUGUGUUUAUUUGAAUCCUACAUAUUGUACUUUUAUGUGGAUCUUAAGUGAUUUUUAAAGCUGUCAGUAAAAAAAAAAAAAAAAAAAAAAAAAGUGAUGUUAUCACUUGUUUUAGGUAGCUUUGUUUUGUUUUUUUUUAAUCCCUUCCUGUUUGCUUCUGUAUACUGAGCUGCUACAAUCCCAGUACCUUAUCUCUUUCCAAGAAAGGUGAGUAUGUAUUACCCUUUGGCUAUUGACUGACAGACUUCUGGCUGUUCUUUGAACCACAGCUAAUGCCACCACAAUAUCUUACAUAUAUGACAUGCUCAGUGUUCACCCUCUGAUUGCCUGAGAACACAUGUUAUAUGAUACAGGCAGGAACGCUGCACAUGGAAUGAAACUCACAGGUUUAUUCUUCUGCUUUCAAUACCUUCUCAUCCUGAAUGUAUAUUGCAGAAUGUAAAUAUGCUUGGUUCAGCAUAUUCACCGAUUUUACAAGUUUUUCCUUCAAAUUUCAAAGUUGAAGUCCUUUUAGGGAAAUCAAGAGUUGCAACAGCAUUAAAACCCUGCACCCCAUACAGCUCAAUUUACAGCAUAUUUAUGCUUACCUUUCCAAUGCACAGGUGGAACAAACUAUUUUAAACAUGACUUUCUGAAGAAAUUUUUGCUUGGAUUUCUCAAAGGAGUCCAAAAUCAUAUUGAAUUUAUGAGCUGAAAAUCACUUCCUCUCCAACCAACAUGGGACACAAUCAUUCUAUAAAAUUGUUGCAGCCUGGGAUCUCCUUGGAAGUGCAAAAUGUGCAAGAGAAUGACCAUGAAAAUAUAUUAACAUUUUUAUCCUGUUUGAGCUGCUAUUACACUUGCAUUCAAAGAAAUGCCUGAAGCACAACUAUUCCGGCACAGCUAGAAUCCUUACAGUCUUAGCUUUCCACAGUCUCAGACUGCAGAGUGAAAAGCAUUGAAAAACACAAGUUUCAUUAAGAAAGAUAACCCUUACCUUCCAGGAGGAUGUAAACUGAGUUUCUACCCGCUGGAGGGACAGGGGCCUGCAGGAGCACAGUGAUACCCAUCAGUGCUUCAGAAUAGUUCCACAUUCUCCUGGCUCACUGGGUGGCUUGGCUUCAAGUGUUGGUUGUAAAGUUAAGGAUUAUCAUUGAGGGCUCUGUAUUUGUGUAAGCGAGGAGAAGAGAGGAAACUGGAGGCAUCCUGCCAAUAUUCUCAAUGCCUGUAUGCUAACUCCACUGGAGGAGAGCAGUGUGAAUGAACUGCUUAGGAGUGGGUUGCAGGAUAUCAUUGUAGUGACACCACAGGCAGAAAAAUUGACACUCAGAGGUAACUUCUUUAAGCUUGGUGGAGACAUAAUAAAGUGGAGUUUUGCUGGCUGUACUGGCACUGAGAGAGUCAGCAGCAAUCAUCUUUCUUCUAAUAACCAAAUGUGCUGAACACAAGCUGGUUAUUGCAAACACAAUUAUUCAGUAAUUGGAUAAGCCUAAAAUAUCUUGGAUACAUCCUUGAUCCAAGAGCUGGCAGCUCACUGAUUAUAUCAUUGUUUGGCAAAGAGGCCUGCAGGCUGCAGGACUCAUAAGAUCCAUACCCAGAGCAGACUGCUGGACCCACUAUCAUGGAAUAGGUUCCAAGUUACUGAUUCAACUACAUUGUUGGAGAACUGGCACAAAUCCUGCUAGGCAUAGACACAAAAUGCUUUAAAGAUCUAAAUAUUAAAGAUCUAAACACUAAACAAGAGCUGUGUAACAGCAUUCUUUCAAGGCUUGCCCGCCCAGGAACAUGAAACAUGCACAAGGUGGUGAAGGAAAAGAGUGGUAGGACUAUAUGGCAUACUGAGGUACUGCUGAUAGAAUUGGUUUUGUCAGAAGUCAACAUCAGAAACAGUUUGAUAUCUCAAUCAAAAAUUUUACUGAGGAAAAUGAAACCAAAUCAAAUCAAAAUAACAAAAACAAAAACAAAAAUGACAGAAAAAAACAGACUUAGCUUAUUUUCUGCUUUCUCAUUCUAGAACAAAGAAAAUAUAUUAGAAAAGCAUUAGUCCUAAAGAACAGACAAAAACUGAAGCAGUCAUAAGCUCAGCAAUAGAGUUAGGAAGCUCAUGAAAUUCAGUCUUUUUCAGACCAAUGUAAUAGAAUAAGGAAAAGUGCAGCUAAAGAUGAACAAUGAUUACAUAAUUUGACGAGGCUGGACUAGGAAGCUAUUACUACAGCUAAAUGAGAAGCUAGGCAGAUGAAAACAGAUUUAGAUAAAAUAAACAUAUACGGGCUAUAAACAUAUAGGGCUACUCUAAGAGUAAUGCCUCCUAUUUUAUCAUGUUGACCUACAAUAUCAGAUGUGAUUGUUGGUGGUUUGACAGUAGAGAUUGAAUCUUCCUGACUGUAUUCCCCUACAUUUUGUUGCUGUGCAACAGAUGGCAGCAGAGGGGCAGUCUGACAAAAUGGCGUCUGACGUGGGAGUGUGUAUGGAUUGAAGGUGUGUCACUGAAUUCCUCUAUGAGAAAAUAAUGACCCAUGGACAUUCACUGAUGCUUGCUGAACAUUUAUAGAGACCAAAGAUUGGACGUGAGCACUGUGAGGUGGUGGAUGGUGCAUUUCAGCAGUGUCAACAUCAACAGUGGGUGGGUGCAGAUUUCUGCUAGCGUGGCAUACAGGCUCUUGUUCAUUGCUGGUGGAAAUGCAUAUCUAAUGGUUGUGACCAUGCUGAAAAGUAGUGUUUUGUAGCUGAGCAUUUGCUCUGUCAAACAGUGUUAUUGUGCUUUUUGCAUCCGUUGCAGUUUCUAUGAAAAGAAAUAGGAGGCAUUACUGUUGGAGUGACCUACAUAUGUAAGCAUCUCUGAAAUACUUAUUUUCCAUUUAUAAGUGAGGGAAGAUAUCUUGAGUUCAAUAAAUAUUGAAGGCAUCUUGUGAUAGACAUAUAUUUCAAUACCUAGGGCAGUUGACAAGUUUUUAAGCCCCACCUGUUUUAGACCUCCAAAAGAUUCAACAAAUGGUCUCAAUUUGGAUAAAAAUUCAAAUGUCCUAGCAAAGUUUAUUCAAUGUAGACAGUACUACUCAAGUGUGUAGGUUCAUAUCUCAAUUAUUCUGUGUGAACACAGGAAAUGGGUCCCCUUGCCAGGCAAGGUAUAGUCCUCAGUGUAAGGUUGACAGAAUCAGGAUUUUAGCACGACUGAAAGCUGAUAGUAAAACAGCUUUAUCUGACUUUUUAUCUGUAGUCAUCCAGGGCUAUCAUGCAGUAGCUUCAGAAAAGGUUUCUAAGCUUUAAUCAUUGUCUUCCAGGCUGUAGUCUCUGUCUUAUUUGAAAUAGCUAUCUUCCCCUGAGUGACUUGUCUGGUUGCAUUUGUGGUACCUGACCUACUUUGCAGCACUUCCCUCGGUACCACCUCAUAAUCUGAUGGCCCAAGAAAACACUGUGAAUUGAAACUCACUCCCAAUAAAGGACAAUAAUUAAAUAAAAAUAAAAACACAUUUGACAGCCCACAACAAAGGCAAAUCUCAACAGCUUUUGCAUGUGUCUGCCUGCUGAAUCAAGCAGUAGUUCCUGUCCCCACAGUGCUGCAGGAUGAUGGAUCACCAAAAUGACAAAAAAUCAGAGUAAUAUUUUGCAGUGUAUUCUUUCUCCUCUCUGGAAUCUUGGAGAACAUCAGACACAUUAAUUAAUCAUCUCUAUUUUCCUGAGGUUUACUGUUAGACCCGUUUAACAGGUGGGUAAACCACUGCACAAAAGUGUUGUGACUUGCCUUCUCUGAACUCUACACCUACAUUGGGUCAUGAUGCUCCAGCACUCCAGGCUUUAUUUAGAACAACUCUGUCAUUUCUUUAAUGGUAGGCAAUUUCCCUUCCUUUAGGAUGGAUCUUACAUCCUCACGAUUUGCAAUUUAAAUAUCAUGGGAGAUGAAUGAGUCAAUGGUAAAAUUCCCAUUGAGUUUAAGGAGUGUAAGGACAUGAGAUUUAUUUCUGAAGAGCUUGUGUGCUUGAAAGCAUUUGUUUUUCAUCUCCCCUCUGGCCCACAGUGUUAUUAACCAGUUAAAUAACAGGUGUUGCCUCUCCUAGCAGAUUUGUCCCCUGAUUUGAGCUUUGUGCAACCAGAUUGUCACUCACUUAGCAGAAGACCACAUCAAAUGUGGAAAGGAAAGGUUACUGCCAUUUUAUACAGUACAGUGAAAUAAUUUCCAGUUUCAAUUUUGAAUACUGUUUUGGUCACUUAAACUUUGUUAAUCAAUGAGUUUGUAUUGCAGUAUGAAAGAACAUUCCCGUGGAGGUAAGAUUUCUAAACUUGCACCUGUACCUGAUAGGAUAACAACUAUGGCACCAAAUUACGCCAGCUGAUUGCAAGCCUGUGUCAUGUACCAGUAGAAAUUACCUUAAGCUUUUUCAGCUUUACAGAUUUUCCUAUAGUGAGGCCAUUCUAUUAAUCAGGGGAUAACACAGUAGUUUCUGCCCAUAGUGUGUGAGCUGCAAUCAAUGGCAUACAAGAUUUCAAAAGCCAUAUUCCAGCAGCUUUCUCACCAGUCACAAGUGUAUGGAGAAAAGUCAUGUGUCCUUAAUCAAACAAAUUAGUAAUGUAGAGUUUAUUUCCACUUGGCGCCAAAAUAGUGAGGACAUUGGCACUUCUCUUCUCCUUCUGUUGUCUCUUUGGCUUAUUUUCUUGUGCCCAGUGUUAGAUGACGGUAGACGCCAGUUUCAGCUCACAGUCUCCUGGACAGUGCCUAGGACAGCUUUCACAAAGAAGAAGGGGGAAGGGGAGAAGCUCACAUGCUGCUGUGUUACCCUUCUUCAUCCCUAUGGGAUUGCCUCUUGUUCUACUGCAGACCUGAGAGGCUGCCUUUUCACUCAGUUGAUUUAAUUUAAUUAGCCUCUGUGAAGCAGAGAUUUAAAGUUGCUAAACCAAAGCUUACAAGAAUCCAGUUGACAAAAUGCAAGGGACAAAAUCAAAAGCUAAUUUUUUGCAAAGUUCACUGUGGACCAGCGUGAAAUACAUGGUAAAGAUCAAAAAGUCUUAGAUAUUUGUCAAGAAUAUGAGGCUUCAAAGACAGGGUAAUUUAGCUUAAUUCUGAAGAGCAUUAGCAGACCCGCAAUAAAGAAUUAAAUCUUGUCUCUUGUGCUUCAGUUAGAUUUUCAGAUAUGCAGUUCUGUAAUUCAGCAAAAUACCACACAGUAUGUGCAAAAUAAUAAUAAAAAUAUUCCUUGACCCAUUUUCUUAAGCUUUAUUCCCAAUUAUCUUUGUUGCUUCUGAAAAGGUUAUUUUUUAUUUCAGGUAUUGAAAUAUCUACAGCUGUUAUACUUCAAAAGUUCCUCCUAUUUUAAAAUAAAUUACAUUUUCUGUUUUUUUUUUCCCAUUUAAAUCUAUCAAUUUUUUAUUGUAUCCAGUGUGUUCUUCUCUCUCUGAUAUUAGCUCUUUUAAUUUACUUCAGUUGACUCAUUUAUUUUCUUGCUAUCUUCUGAGGUUUGUAACAGUACUAACUGGUCAAUCAAAACACAGCAGGAGCUAAACUCUUCACCUUCACAACUGACAUUCUUUCCUCUUUAGAAGAAGCCAAAUCCUGGCUUCUUCUUUUACCUCUGUCUUCGUGAGGUUUUGGAAACAGUGUCUAUAAUCCUAGAUUCCACACAGCCCCAAUAAUUCCUUAUUUGUAUAACCUCACCAAGGUUGAAGGAUUAAGUGGAUCUCUCUCUCUCACAAGAAUACUUUGUGGAUCCAACUGAGCUGUGUUGAACUGAAAAGUCAUGCUCUAGAAAAUGUGUUUCUUACUAUACAGUCCUUUUCGUGUUACAUUUUACUCUGAGAAGUAAUAAAUUAAGAGCCAGUGACUGUUCAGUAAGUCAAAAAGGAAGAUAAAUAAAACAAUAAUUUAUCAAAUAUUAACUUAUAUUUUUUCUUAUUUUAAGCAUGCUUUUCUGAAAUUCUGGAAGCUGAAUGCUCUGUUUUGUCUACUCUAAUUGAUUUCAUUUUUAUCUCAUACUUUUCAUUGUGGAGUCUAUCAUGCUUCAUCUAAUUCUGAAUGUGGAAAUGAUUGUGAAAUUAACACGUUAGACCAGUACAGCAAACUUGUCUCUCUCUCACAAGCUGCUGCACUCAGUCACUCAGUGCCUUUCUCUCAGUUGAAUUAUGCAGUGGUCAACUCUCUUCCAUACAAUGGGUUUUGCAAGACUGCUGAAUGGAUGUUUUUGGCAUGGUCUCAUUUAGCAGAUAUUCCCAUGUGGUUUCCAUGCAUCCCCAUACUAAUGCUGUUCUCUGUGUAAACACAUGGAUUGCAUUACUCGAUGCCCUUUUGAUCUAAACAUAAAAUAAAUUUUUUUUUUAAAUAUCCCAAACUAAUAAGAAGUCGGAUUUCAUUUCAAGCUACUGGGCAACAGCACAGUUUCCCCUCUUAUGGAUCUUUCACCUGUGGCUACAAUCCUAGAUGCAUUCUGAAUCACUCUUUUCUCUUCUGCUGGCACUGGCUCUUCCCUUGAAUUUAUGUGUGUGUCUGUGUGAUUUUUCCCUUACUCUUAUUUUCUGGCUUCAUAACCUCCCAUGAGUCUUCAACCACUGCUAAAAAAUGCCUGCUUGCUUCUGCUGGGUGGGAAAACAUUAAAACACUGGGAAGGAUGGUCAUUCUCUCUUUGCCAGCCUGUUUUUUUGAGGCAGAUUCCCCACUGGUGUAAAUAGCUGAGCUUCUAUGAAUUCAUGUUACUUACACUGAGGAUCUGGGCCUUUGAUUUACUUUUCCCAGCUGUAGCCAUACUGGCUUGUUCAUUUACUUUUAUAACUGUGCCAUUCAAUUCCAUCUGAGCACUACUAUGGUGCUGUGAUUUAGCUUAGACCCUACUUAACACAAAAUUUAUUAUCUUGAUAGAUAAAUGAUUACUGUAUACUAUUUCUCCUAAUAACUUGCAUACUUCUGAUAACAUAAUGUGUUGAGCACAUUGGAUGCAGAAUGGUCCCAGGUGCUUUAUAACAUAGUAUAUGAGCUAUAUAGGAAGAUAACUUUGCUCCCUACUGAAAUGCAGCCAUCUCUGCUGUGAAGCACACAUAACCACACUGCAGAAAAUGUUGGGAUGCAAAGUCGUGUCCAAUUGAAACUGCAAGGGGAAUUUUGUGUAAGUAGAAUAUAAUUACCCAAGCUGGAUGUCAGCCAGGAUUCAGGGAACACCCUGGAUUUUGGAGGAACUGCCAAUGGGAGAUGGAGAUGUUACUACAGGCAUACAUGUUCUCAUUUCUUGAUUAAUUCCAAGAGGAUAAGUUGUUGUCUUUUAAUUUCCUCUUUACUGCUUAUCUUUUUUUUUUAUCAGCUGCUCUUUCUGUAGCCUUAUUAUGCGUCAUGUUCUGAUUUCUCUCUUCUUACAUUUCCUCUCUUACAUUUCACACAUCCCAGUGUUCCCCCCCUCCCCAAACAUUCUUUCAUCCAAAGUCCUAGCAAAAAAGACAAAAUUAUCUGUUUACAUCAUGUUGCUGAAUAAAAUGUUUGCUAUAUGAGGGUAAUAGAUUUCUCCAUAUAAGUACAUACAGAAUUUGCAGAAUCAAAAAUAGUAAAGUAUGUUUGUUAGUUUGUUUUUCCCCUUGAUACUUAAUUUUCUCCCCUCCUUGCCAAGAUCAUGCAAUUGAAGAAUGGUGAAAUACUCUAAAUGUUGUGUCCAUACCAAGACCUCCCCACACACAACCCUCUCCCAAACUGCUUGAGGCUUACACUCAAAUCAUUGUCAGAAACUUUCAACUAGGAAAGGGCUUGAUGCUGGAAAGCCAUGUGAUACUGAGGUGAAUAUAGGAAGUCAGAAAAAUGAACUCUAUAAUUCUUCAUUUCGCAGUAUAAAGCAGAUCUCCACUGGCUCCUGAGCCAUAGCGCCAGGGUGCCUUGGCAGCACACUCUGGCACAGCUAACCUUGGGCAAGGCUUUCACUCCAAAACAUGUCACUGAGUGUCAUGGGCUGUAUUUCAGUGUCUGCUCUACCAGUGAUCAACUGUCCAACACUUUGUUAGAGGCUUAGACCAACUUGAGAGAUUUGGAACAAUCUUUGGAUUCCAUGGGCAAGGACUCACUGUUCAGAGUGGCUGGGAUUACUGUUUGUAUGUUUGUGGAAAAAGAGGUCUCCUUCAUCUGCAGGCAUCAAAAUCUUGGUAAAAAUGAGAAUCUGCUCCCUUAUCUUUCACAGUAACUAUUAAAUAUAUGAAACAUUUAGUGGACAGUAUGCUGGCUGACCCGUGUCUCUCCCGCUCAAAGUAGCAUGUUCCUCUUUACUCUAAUGCAAUUUUUCACUCUACUAAGUGAAAUCAAAUGUCAAAGUUCCCUAAACUUUGCUGGCUGAAAUGUGAAUUUUUCUCCUAACUUUGUUGCAACAUUGUCUCACUUUCUGUGUGAAAUGUUCCACUGUAAUCAAAGGCUGAUGAAAUAUCAAGGCUCGAUUAAUUAUUAUAGUGCCUAGCAGCAGUGCUGGAGUUGGUGGGUGGAGAACUCAUUCCUUUCAAUUUUGCAUUGAGAUCUAUCCUGUAACAUGAGUUCUCAGGUCAAGAUCUCAACAUAUACUUUGUGGAGAGUUUCAUUCAAUCUUCACACAUUAGGAGAUGUGCUCUUCAAUAUCGAUACAGUCCUAAAGUAAAUGUUUAUUUGUUUUACUUUGAAUACCAUCCCCUUUUUUCCCUUACCUGUGCACCUUGAAUCAAUUUGAAAUUUUAGAGUUAAUGUUGUGUUUGCUGAACUGAUUGUCAGAUGGUUUAUGUGCGCAUGAUGAAUCCCUAAUAAAUUGUCAACUAACCAUGCAACCAUGUGAGUGAAGGGGAUGAUGGUUACAACACGAGCUAGUGUAUUUUAGAAUGAAAAAUAGAAAAAUCUUGUCAGUAUGUCCUUCUUGUUCUUGAAGCAAGAGAGAAUCAGAGCUUUCCUUUUGGCUGGAGAUUCGGCAGAUGUUCAUUUUAGUGUACUUAAUUAGAUGCAUUGUCAGUGACAUGAACUUUUGUUAAGGGAAACUAAAAAUACUUGAAUUAUAAACAGAAAUUGAGUGUAAUAAUUGUACAUAUUAUUUACUGGAAAGAGUUGAAUUUAUUAUUAUGGACAUAAUUGUCAUCAGGGUUAUCACUCUUAUUACAGCUUUGCUGAGAUGGUAAUUCCAAAGCCCAGAGGAGACAACUGUGCUAUACAGAAGGUGAACAUAAAAUGAAAAUCAGGUCCCUGAUCCAAACAGUUUGCAAGCUAGGGAAUAAAAAAAAAACCUAUAGUUUCUGAAAGAAGAAUUCAUUUGUGAUUAAAUAUCUUUUAUUUUCUAUCAGAUGAUUUAUAGAUGCUUUUAAAACUCUGGAACUGCUCAAAACUUCAUUGAAAUCAAUGCAAAAGCACAGCUAGGACUGAUUUAUUCCUUGUCAUGUGAAAUCCUACAGUUUAUCCAUACCAGAACCAUUUUCUGUAGAACUAAAACGAAACCACUGCUGGUGUGAAAUACAGCAAGUUUUACACACACGGUUUCUUCCAAAAGAAAAAGAAAGAAAGAAAGAAAGAAAGAAAGAAAGAAAGAAAGAAAGAAAGAAAGAAAGAAAGAAAGAAAGAAAGAAAGAAAGAAAGAAAGAAAGAAAGAAAGAAAGAAAGAAAGAAAGAAAGAAAGAAAGAAAGAAAGAAAGAAAGAAAGAAAGAAAAAGGAAAAAGAAAAGUAAACGAAAAAGGCUUGACUAUUUAAUGGCAGAAAACAAACAAGUCUAUCUCACCAAGAUUCCUGGCAGAGUGCGAGCAGAUCUGGCCUAGUGCAAUUCUUGUCUUCUUUUGAGUUUGCUGAGGAUACUGGCAUAAUCUCUCUGUUUUUUUCCAUCUGAUCUCAAGUGACCGCAACUGUUCAGGGCUUUGGUUUUCUCUGAUCUAAAUGAUUGCAGCUCAAGCACCAGAGUGUCCCCAAGCACCAUGCUGGGAGGCUGGCUCCGCACUGACUCAGAGGGAGCAUUCCCAUCUAGCUGACUCACCAGCACUCAAGUGCACUGCCAGCGAUCCAGAUACUAAACUGAUCCUAUCCUCCAUCAUCAUGGGGAGGGGGAGGGAGAACAGAUAAAUUCUUAAAAAUGAAAUACUGAUGGUACUUAGUGCAUCAAUUGGGCCAUUUUGCCAUAUGCAAGAGACCAAACAAAACAAUUUAAAUGUCCAAGUUAUUCAAGUUUGUAAAGCACAUGCUGUGAGAGUUUCUGCUUUUUUUUUUUUGUUGUUUUGUUUUUUUCCCAUAGGGUUAUUUAUUACAUAUUGCAUCCAGACAAAUUCGUUGUCCUUUCAAUGGGACUGCACAAGUAGGGUUUUCAAACUUAAUUUUUUCCCCUCUAUCUAGACUCUGUGAAAUGUAUGUGAGGAGAGAGUUUGUAUAGUCAUUAUCUUUUAUUAGAUUAACUGAUACAGUUGGUAAAAAACAAGCUUUAAGGCAAAUAAGCUCUUCAUCAGGUUUCAAAUCAUGUAAAGGCAGCAAUGGAAAAGAGCAUACAAUAUGAUUUACUAUUAUUUUUGGGUUUGUUUUCAUGUUAGGUUUGUAAAGUUUCUUUCAAUGUAACAAAUACUGCAUUUGUAGCAGUUUUUUUGUUUGUUUGUUUGUGUCAGAUGCUUUUAUGGUCUACAGAACAAA
rnacentral:lncRNA from 1 species